rnacentral:lncRNA from 1 species
UCAGGUCACCUAAUGAAGCAGGGAUGGAUCCAGUUAGAUUAUUUUCGCUCAAUUCUAGUUCACCGAGAGAUUUCAAAUUCCCCAACUCUGGUGGGAUAGGACCAGAAAGGUUAUUAGCGUAGAGGUGCAGAAUGGUUAGACCCGUAGCUUUGCCUAAAGAGGCUGGGAUCAAACCUGUGAGAUUAUUAUUGUUUAAACUCAGGGUUUCAAGUGACUUUAGCUUCCCCAACUCAGGAGGGAUCGGACCAGAAAGUUUAUUUUUGAAAAGAUUCAAAAUUUACAGUUGAUUCAAGUUCCCUAGAGUGGGAGGUAUGGGCCCUGUCAGCAUGUUGGUGUCCAUGUAAACCUCUAGAAGAUUGGAGAGAUUUCCCAUUUCAGGGGGUAUAAAUCCAGAAAGAGAAUUAUUAUAAAGAUACAAAAAGGUCAAGUUUUUCAAAUUGCCAAAAGAAACAGGAAUUGGACCAUCAAGUUUGUUACUGUACAAUGCAAGCUCACUUAAAGACACUAGUUGUCCUAUUUCGGAAGGAAUCGAGCCAUUAAGUUGAUUUUCAACCAAAUGAAGAGUUCGAAGACCAGUUAUUCGGCCUAUUUCUGAUGGGAUGGUUCCUGUAAGCUGAUUUGUGGAUAUAUCAAGAUAGACGAGUUUUGAGAGUUUACCUAUUUGAGGUGGAAUGGAGCCAAAAAGUCGGUUGAUGCAUAAAUCGAUAAAAGCAGGAUAUGGGAGAGACGAGAAUGGAAACUUAUAGAGGGUGGCAUAAAUACUUGCAUUUGUGAGGUUCAGCUUGUUGACACUUCCGUCAAUGCUGCAAAAAACUCCAAACCAAUUGCAAGGACUACCACUUGCUUUUGGAUGAGUCCACGAAGUUAGAAUGGAAUUGUUCUCAUUUUUGAAAGUGGCUUUCCAUUUCAGUAAAGCAUUUGCUUCUGCAAAAGAAGCAGAAGCAGGUUUAAGACAAACAAAGAAGAGAAAAGGCAGAAACAAGAAAAAUGUAAAAAUGGGGUACUUCAACAUGGUUAUUAAACUGGGAUUUCGUUUGUGCUUGGAUUAAUUUUGAUGAUAUGAAACUGUAAUUUAUAGAUGCAAAAUUGGAAAUAAAAUCUACGUAUGUAAUGGGGUAGAAUUUCAAGUCCACUCCCUAAGUACAUUCUUGCUGGAAGACAGCAUUCUAUUACCAAAGACUUUUGAAGUGUUAAGGACCUCUGAAGUCAUUGUCUGUCUUUAAUGGGCAGAGAAAAAAAAACUGCAAAUCCAGGUCUUUAUCGGUUAUUUUUGUCAAAAUUGCCAGCAACUCAUUUAUUUAGCUACUUCAUAUUGGUUUAUAGUUCUCACCAUUUCCUGCAAGCUCAAAAGUUAACAGAACCCCGGCCAAAUAAUUAUUACCAAUUUAUUUUAUUUUUAACUCCUAACCUUCUUUGGAGGAGAUAGAAUUCAAGUGUGGUCAAUGUCUAUAUGACAAAAAAAAAAAGAAAAAAAGAAAAAAAGAAACUGUGAUUAGAAAUGGUUGAAAAAUCUAGGAAAAAUUGCAGCAAAAGCCUUAAACAUUUGAGACAUUAGCAGACUUUCCCUAAACCUUUCCAAACGCUGCAGAUGAGACCCCUUUGGACGGUUUCCAUCAAAAAUUCUGUUAGUUGACCGAAAUUUUGGACUUUGACCACAUUUUAAUUAAUUAUACAAAAUGGUAACUUUAUAUUUUUCACUUUAAAAAACUUAAAUAAAAAAAAAAAGAAUAAUAAAACAAAAUAAAAAGGAAAAAGACUUCUUCUCCUUCACCCCCAACCCCUAACAAUGUCGGUCUCUCUCUCUGACACACCCCACCCCGUGUAACACUACUGGACCUAGACGUGGCAUGCACCGAUGAUAGAUACUAACUAAAAGUCGAACCCACUAUCAAGGCUAUUACAAGUAUAAUAUAUCACUUUUUAUAUAUCAUUUUGCUAACAGAAUUUCGACAUUAUCUACCGUGUAAACAGGAUUAACCAACUUGUGAUCAAUUUCACACAAAUCCCAAACAAUAACACAAUACAAUAAAGAUAAGUCGAAACCUCAACUUUUACCAAGAAAUAAAAUGAAAUGUAUAUAUGGAUACAAAAUAUAUAGUGAGCCCCAUAACUAUCUACGAGUGAUGCAAAAUCACAUCUAGGCAUGAACAUGCGUCCCAAAACACUGACUACAUGUUCUAUGAAAUGAGUCAUACUAACAAACUCUGUCAUGUGUCUGACUUCAAAAUCAAGGCUCAACUCCAAAAAAUGCACAGAUACUCAACUGCUGCUUGAUAAGGAAAAAUGUGGAAAAAUAUAUGAGUUAAUAGUUCAGUGAGUGGAGAAGUUCAAAAUAAAUAUAUUUUUUCAUUUAUAUAUUUUUAUUGAAAAUCAAAUUCAUAUCAUUUGAUAAUUCACAAGCUACCAUCAUGUAAUUAUAGCCAAAAAGUGAAAUAUUCACAUAAGGUCAUUAAAUAUCAUCACAUCAAACGUGCUAAAAAUUCACAAAAAAUGCACUCUCUGACUGAAAUAUGUAACUUGCCCCUCGGACUAAGAACUUUUGCCAUGGGCCUUUGGCUCCCUCCGAGAACGAAAGUUGGUCUCAAAGAUCUCUCAUAAUCAAUUCUAGAAUACGGUCAAGACCCCUCAGUGAACUAUAUGUACAUGGUCCAGACCCCUUCAUCCCCGGUCCAAGAUCCCUCAGUGUAGUAUAAAACACGAUCAAAACCUCUCAGCGAAUUAGAAGAAAUAUAUAAUCACAGGUACUUUUCUGGUCGAUCUCAAAAUCAUAUCUCAUAUUUCAAUUCACAAUAUACCAUAUACAAUCUUUGAAAUCCCACAUGCAUCAUAAUAAAAGAUAUUUCCAUAAUAACGAUGUAAUUCAAACACAUAAUUGUAUAUAAUUGAACAUACUUUAACAAUAUACUUAAUUUAUAAAUAUUUUAAAAAUAUUUAUAUUUUUCCACUCACAGAACUAUGUACGUUAAAAUCAACUCGAUUGGUAAACUGUUCCGAUAUUCGUAUCGUCGUCUGAAAUAUGUUCUAAUUUUUAAAUCAAUAAUUAAUUAUUUUAAGAAAUUUCAUUAAUUAAAUAGGUGAUACGAAAUCUUAAUUAUUUCACGUUUAGGCGAUUUCUAAAGUCUCUUUAAUUACUAAAACUAAUUUUUCUUUCAUUUUACUUAAUUUCAUAGUUUAUUAUACUUAAUCCUUUCAAUAAAAUUGAAUUUAAUCUAACAAUCUAACAAUUAUAAAAUCAAACAUAACCUUCCAAUAAGUAACUUUUUACUUACCUUUCAAAAUUGAGAAAUUCAAGUCUAAUAGUAUAUAGCACUUUAUUCCUAACACAUUGGCGAAUUUUUUCUCUUUUUUCUUUCUUCUCUUCCUCUUUUUUCUCCCCCCCCCCUCCCCCCUUCUUUUUACUUUCUCUUUUUCUCUCUUCUUCUUCUCUAUAUCGUUUUACUUUGAGUGUGUAUUUUGUGUGUGUGUUAUUAAUUAAUGGUUUGGAUAGAUUUAUAAUGGAUUGUUUUGAGUGUCCACUGCCAUUUUUUUUUUAUCUUUUGUAAUUUUUUUUAAUUUGACUUUUCUUUCCAUUAAUUUAAGAUAUUACACUCUUGCCCCUGAUAUCACGAUUUUGUGACCUCGGUGAGCAGAAGGUAUCUGUUUCCAUAUCCCUUUCCAUUUCAAAAUGAGAUCCAUACACAUCAAAUCAUUUCCGCUGUAGCAAAGCUCUUGAUUUCCUUCUUCGACAAUUAAAGCUACAGUGUUUUGGGCUAAAUUCAACACAUUUUUGUUUCAUUUUCUUCUCUCCUAGGGUCAUUCAUCCUAGAUCCAUUACAUAUUGGGGCAGAACCCUCAACAUCAAGAGGUGGAGGUGGUAUCAGAAGUGGAAGAGAGAAAAGAAGCGAUUUCGGUACAACUCCCCAGGCGCUAAAUGUGAUGAUGACGGCCUCAAAAACCCUACGCAAUCCCUAUCCUUUCUCUGUAAAAAUUGCUUCUGAAGAAACAUCACAAAACCCAACAAACCAUGAAGAUCAAUGGCAAAAUGAAGAAGGAAGGAAGUAAGAAAUUGUCCAAAAAAGACCAGGAUGUUCUGAUUCGAGCUGUAGGUAAAAAGCUGGUGUUUGUUGUGGUGAGGGAACGGGGGUUUACGAUCCAGUGCCUUUUGACUGUGGUGCCCGAUGUCGUCAGUGCUCAAAUGGUGAAAUUUGCCACCAAUUUGAGAAGAAAGAGGGAAAUCGGACAAGAUUCUUUCAAUACACCAUUGCUUGAGACUGGUGGUUUCAGUCAGAGGCGGAGGUGGUGGGGGAAAAAAAUCCCUUUUUCUUUUUUUUUUCUUUUUUUUUUUUUUUUUUUUUUUUGGUUUUUGAUUUAGGUUUUUUUAAUUGUUUAAAGUGGUAAAUAUAAAGUUACCAUUUUUGUCCCUUUAUAAUUGAUUAAAAUGUGGUUAAAGUCCAAAUUUUCGAUCAACUAACGAAUUUUUUGACUGAAACCGUCUAAAGGGGUCUCAUCUGCAACGUUUGAAAAUAUUAGGGGUGACAACUGCAAUAAAUGAAAGAUUUGAGAAAAGUCUAUUAAUGUUUCAAAGGUUUGGAGCUUUUGCUACAAUUUUUCCAAAAAUUUAUAUGGAUCAAGCACAAGUACAUGACUUUUAAAUUUUUACUCUAAUGCAUUCCCUGUUUGACAUUCAUUAAAAUAAAACUCUUAUUUUUGUUGGAAUUAAUUUCCAAUCACAUAUUCUUACAGUAAAAUAUUCAGAACUUUUUCUUAUUUUUUAACCACAUCCUAAAAAAAAAUCACUAUUUCAAAACUCAUUAUUUUCAGAAAAAAAUUCCAUUUUUAAUGCUUGUCAAACAAGGAUAGAAAUAUUUAUCGUGCAGUAUUUUACACAUAAUAUAGCCAAAAUUUAAUUUCUUUUUUCUUGUUCUUCUGCAUUAUUGUCCAGGCCAGGCAUGGAACAUGCUAUGAAAGAGUUUUUACAGUAUAUUUACUAUCCAAGAAAAUUACAAAGACAGACAUUCAGGCUUCUAACAAAUACAGAGACAUCCUUUCAAGUUUUGCAACAUUCUCUCUAAAUAACAUUAACAUAUUCCCCUUGAUCAAUUAAUAGUCAUAACAUAAAAAGCAUCCGUUAAGCUAAACCAUAAUCGGAUUGCAUAGAUAGAUAGAGAAGCAAAUUCUACUAUAUAAUAAUGAAAUCACAUAUUGCUUAUGUGUUGUACAGCUCAAUUUUUCGAUCUCAAAAUGUUCACUUGCUAGAACUAAACAAACAUUUAUCUACUAAUUCUACAACGACGUACCAUAAUUUACUACUUCCAAGCUUGAUUCUGAAUUUUCCAAGUCAAUAAAAAUGGAUGAAGAAAUAAAAUUUAGCGCACUCCUCACCAUUAAGGUCAUUAGAUCAUUUUUCAAGAGACUCUUUAAAUAUAAGAUACCUUCUGUUUUAAAGAGUCAACCCUUAAAAUCAUACUUUAAGAGACUCUUUUAAUUAAUAUUUGGAGAGCCAAACUCACUCUCUAAAUGCAGUCAAAAUGUUUCAAUUUUCAAUGUAGGAAAAUAAUAAAAUAAUCUAAAGGAAAACUAGUGAAAGUCAAAUAUAGAAAAAAUUAAAAAUAUUUUUUUGUAGUAAAACUAAGUGUUAAAUAUAAAGAAUUUGUAAAAGUACUUCAAAAUUUUAACUCUUUAAAUUUAUAAAUGUUUUUCAAAUGAUAGAAUAUACUCUUUCAAAAUAGAGUCUCUUCAAGAUGCUCUUAGAUGUGGUUGCAACCUCAAAAAUUUUAUUGAGCCUAUACCGAAUAAUCCCCUCUUUGACUCCGAUUUCUUAAAACUUAUUUUCAACCAUACUUUUCAUAGGACUCACAACAUCCCAUCACCUUUCAUCAAAAUUUAUUGAGAUAUAAUUUUUAUCUAAGCCAAAUAGGGUCUAAUCAUCACCAGUCAUUUAAAUGUUUUAAUACAUCAAUUUAUUUAUUUAUUUUAAUCUUUGGAGCAGACAGAAUUCCAAGGGUGGUAAUUGCUUAUAAAACCCAAAACUGAGAUUAAAAAUGUUUGAAAGACUUACAAGGAUCACGUACAAAUUACAUGUGAAAUAUUCAUGGCGCAUACUUUCAGACAAAAUACAAUAGCCAAAAAUUUAAUUUCGUUUUCUUCAUCAUCUUCAUUAUUGUCCAGGCAACGCACGGAACAUGCUAUAUAAGAGUUUUUACAGUAUGUUACUAUUCAAGAAAAUUUUAAAGAGAGCCAUUCAGACUUGUAACAAAAUACAGACACAUCCCUUCAAGUUUAAAAAAUCACAACAUUCUCUCCUAAUAACAUAUUCCCUUUUAUAAUAAGCUUAAGCCAUAGCAAGGUUGCAUAGAUAAAUCGAGCAUCCUUGAGAAUCAAGCAGCAAAUCUAUUUAUCAGUCACCUACAGCUUAACAUCACAUAUCUAUACUGGGCAUCAAAAUUAGAAUUCCAACGUGAUUUAAGACUACAUUCAAGUUUGUUAUACUUACCAGUUAUGACAUGAUCAGAAAGUUUUUAAAGGAACUGCAGUCUGUCAUCAGCAAGAAAUUAUAACAAUCAACAGCAAAGUAAAAGCAGCAUCAACAGCUACUGCAUCAUCAUAAAACAGCACAGCAUCAAUAGCUGCUGCACCAUCUCGUCCAUCAGCAACAACUACUCCUCAUGAUCACAGCUAUAGAAGGCCAAUAAAGGUUUCAUAUAAGUAAAUUAUUCAAUUAAAUUCGUCCUUUCGCAUUUAUGAUUUUAAGAAAAAAUUAAAUGAUAAUACUUCCAAAUUUAAGUAUCUAGAUUUGGAGGAGUUAUAGCACCUGUCAUCAAGUUAGUGUCCAUGUCAACUUGUACAAGAUUGAUGAAAUUUCCCAUUUUAACAGGUACCGAUCCAAAAUGCCGAUUGUUGAUUAGAUUCAAAUAAACAAGUCUUGGAGAGCCGAGAAUGGAAAUUUACAGUGGGUGGCAUAAAUACUUGCAUUUGUGAGGUUCAGCUAUGAACACUUCCAUAGAUGCAAGAAACUUCAUACCAAUUGCAAGGAUUGGCAGUUGCUUUUGGAUGGCUUGAAAAAUUGGUGGAAUUAUGGGGCUCAAAAGUCCAUGAAUUUAGUAGUGAAUUGUAGGGAUUUUCAAAACUGGUUUUCCAUUUCAGUAGAGCAUUUGCUUCAACGGCAGAUCCAGAAGCAGGUUUAAGAUAAAUAAAGGAGAUAAUUAGUAACAAUACUACAAACUCGAUAUCAUCUAAACAACGUGAUGAAUUUUAUAUCAAAGGAUAGAAAUCUUUCCACAUCUUAAAACAAUUUAAAGCCAAAAUAUUAUAAGUCAAGGGAAAAGUGUUUCCAUUUCAUAUGACUUUCUGCAAGGUAGUUUUGCCAUAUCCACUACUUUUGGUACAAAAUAACAAUAUUCAUAGUAAACAAUAAACAAGGAAAAGUUUGAUGCCUAAAUAGCAAAAAUACAUCAAAGGAAAAAAAAUACAUAAAAACAAUUGGCAUCAUUUGCAAACUUUCAUAAAAUUCAUGCUAUUAAGAAAUCACUGAGAUGGUGGUGGAUGCACUAAGCAUAUCAGAAACAACGUCCAUGGUUGGACGAAAUUGUGGAUUGGAGUGAAUGCAUUUAGUUGCAAAUUUAACAACGAACAUCAAAAUCUCCUCUUCUUCGAGGUUGGGAUAUAGAAUGCGCGGAUCCAAAAAAUCCUUAAACUGUAAUUCUCCAUGUCUGAGACUGUCACCAGGACGAUUUCCUUUGAUCACUUCCAAAGCCAACACUCCAAAGCUGUACACAUCACACUUUUCUGUCACUUUCAUUGUGUAAGCAAGCUCUGCCAAAACAUCAGUGAACAAAUACAAUUAAAAUCAUGUAUGAACAAUCCGUGGAUGAUAUAUACGAAAAAAGAAAAAAUAUUACCCGGUGCAACAUAACCAUAUGUGCCUGCAAGAGCGCUCAAAUUCGAUGAGUCGCAUUUCAAAAACUUAGCAGUUCCAAAAUCUGAAAUAUGUGCCUCGUACUCUGUAUCAAGCAAAAUGUUGUUGCUUGAGAUAUCUCGAUGAACAAUUGGAGGAGAACAACUAUGAUGCAUGUAAGACAAAGCAUGAGCCACACCCUUCAAAAUAUUUACCCUUUUCGGCCAAUCCAAUGUCUUAGCUUCUUCAUCUAUACUUAGAGUUUUGGCAAGACUACCUCUGUCAAAGUAUUGAUAGACCAAAAACGAGUGUUGAGCAUUUGAGCAGAAACCAUAAAGUUUCACAAUGUUCCGGUGCUUGAUUCCUGUCAGUGCUCUUAUUUCGCUUAAAAACGCUCUACGAUUUGCCAUUUCAGACAAUGAAUGAAUUCUUUUCACUGCUACUAUAUCUUGUGAUGGAAGCUUCGCCUUGUAAACCCUUCCACAUCCACCCUCUCCAAUGCAAAAUGCUGCAUCAAAUUCUUUGGUGGCCUCUAAUAUGUCUUUAUACAUGACUACUCCAUCAAAAGAUGAUAUGGAAAGCAAAUCAUCUUCUGCAUCUAUUGAAUUCCUCUUUCUGCGAUCAUACAUGAUCAGGAUGCCAACGAGUGCAAAUAGAAGUAGAGGUGCCCCAAGAAGGGGAAGUACAACUCUCAAAAUGAGUUUGAGACCAUUCCCUGUCUUGUGGUUUUCAACAGGAGGAGGAACUUUGCAUGGUUUCAAUCCUGCAAUAUUACCGCACAAUCCUUUAUUCCCUCGUAGUUUUUCUAUGGAGACAUUCUGAAAGGGCUUGCCAUUAGGAAUUUGGCCCUCCAACUCAUUAUAGGAUAUAUCGAUGUCCACAGCGCCAGGCAAUAUUUGAAAACUCUCAGGAAUGAAUCCAGAGAGGCGAUUGUGUGAGAGGUUUAACAUUCCCAAGCUUGACAAAAAUCCUAUUUCAGAUGGUAUUUCUCCAGUAAGUGAAUUACUGCUCAUAUCCAAUGCAGACAAAUGAGUUAACUUACCAAUAUGAACCGGGAUUGUUUGGCUUAAAAAAUUGUAGCUCAAAUUCAAGUGAAACAACUGCCUAGAAUUUGGAAAAUUUUCAGGUAUUGGACCUCUCAGUCUGUUUCUCGAAAGGUCUAGGUAAUUUAAGCUUGACAAUGAUCCCAAUUCGUGAGGUAUAUGCCCAGAAAUUUGAUUGUCAUUCAGAUCAAUUUUCAGAAGUAAAAUUGACUUCCCAAUUUCCUUUGGGAUCCCCCCACAUAACUGGUUUGAAGAAAGAUCGAGUACUUGUAUUUGACUUAAAUUUCCAAAUUCAGGAGGAAUGCUCCCUGAAAGGUUGUUCUUCGCUAUUUUCAAUGUUUCUAGUUGUUUGCUAAUACACCAAUCAUUGGAGAGUUCACCAUAGAAUUUAUUGUCACUUAGAUCCAUGAAUGUCAAAUUUGGAUAGACACCGAAUUCUUCCGACAGAUUCCCAGAAAACUGGUUGUGAUCAAAUCGGGCUCUAGUUAAACUGGAACAAUUUUUCAAGCUUUUAGGGAUUGGACCUGAAAGUCUAUUGUUAUCCACAGUAAAAUGUUGUAUUAACCUACCGCCACAUAACUCUGGCAAAUGACCAGAAAAUUGAUUUUCAUCCAUUUCCAGGACAACAAGUUUCUUCAAUUUUCCUAGUUCACUUGGAAUGGGACCGGAAAGUUGGUUCUGACGAAGGAACAAAUAUUCUAAAUUGCUCAGGUCACCUAAUGNAAGGUUAUUAGCGUAGAGGUGCAGAAUGGUUAGACCCGUAGCUUUGCCUAAAGAGGCUGGGAUCAAACCUGUGAGAUUAUUAUUGUUUAAACUCAGGGUUUCAAGUGACUUUAGCUUCCCCAACUCAGGAGGGAUCGGACCAGAAAGUUUAUUUUUGAAAAGAUUCAAAAUUUACAGUUGAUUCAAGUUCCCUAGAGUGGGAGGUAUGGGCCCUGUCAGCAUGUUGGUGUCCAUGUAAACCUCUAGAAGAUUGGAGAGAUUUCCCAUUUCAGGGGGUAUAAAUCCAGAAAGAGAAUUAAGUUUAAACUCAAGGUUUCAAGUGACUUUAGCUUCCCCAACUCAGGAGGGAUCGAACCAGAAAGUUUAUUUUUGAAAAGAUUCAAAAUUUGCAGCUGAUUCAAGUUCCCUAGAGUGGGAGGUAUGGGCCCCGUCAGCAUGUUGGUGUCCAUGUAAACCUCUAGAAGAUUGGAGAGAUUUCCCAUUUCAGGGGGUAUAAAUCCAGAAAGAGAAUUAUUAUAAAGAUACAAAAAGGUCAAGUUUCUCAAAUUGCCAAAAGAAACAGGAAUUGGACCAUCAAGUUUGUUACUGUACAAUGCAAGCUCACUUAAAGACACUAGUUGUCCUAUUUCAGAAGGAAUCGAGCCAUUAAGUUGAUUUUCAACCAAAUGAAGAGUUUGAAGACUAGUUAGUCGGCCUAUUUCUGAUGGGAUUGUUCCUGUAAGCUGAUUUGUGGAUAUAUCAAGAUAGACGAGUUUUGAGAGUUUACCUAUUUGAGGUGGAAUGGAGCCAAAAAGUCGGUUGAUGCACAAAUCGAUAAAAGCAAGAUUUGGGAGAGACGAGAAUGGAAACUUAUUGAGGGUGGCAUUAAUAUUUGCAUUUGUAAGGUUCAGGCUGUUGACACUUCCAUCAAUGCAAGAAACUCUAAACCAAUUGCAAGGACUACCCCUUGCUUUUGGAUGAGUCCAAGAAGUUAGAAUGGAAUUGUUCUCAUUUUUGAAAGUGGCUUUCCACUUCAGUAGAGCAUUUGCUUCUGCAAAAGAAGCAGAAGCAGGUUUAAGACAAACAAAGAAGAGAAAAGGCAGGAACAAGAAAAAUGUAAAAAUGGGGUACUUCAACAUGGUUAUUAAACUGGGAUUUAGUUUGUGCUUGGAUUAAUUUAGAUGCCAUGAAAUUGUAAUUUAUAGAUGCAAAAUUGGAAAUAAAAUCUACGUAUGUAAUGGGGAAGAAUUUCAAAGACUUUGGAGUGUAAAAGACUUCUAAAGUCAUCGUGUCAGUUUCUAUCCCUUAUUUUUUCACAAUUGGGCAGCAAAUCAAUUAUUGCUGAAAGUCCAAUACAAAAUACUACGCACGAUGGAUCAAAGAAAAAGUGCAAAAAACAAAAUGGCUACUGCGUAUUGGUCUAUAGUUCUCUCCAUUAAGGUCAUUAGACGUGACUACAACCUCAAAAAGUUUACUGAUCCUAGACCGAAUAAGCCCUUCUUUGACUCUAAUUUCUUAAAAUUCAUUUUCAACCAUAAUUUAAUUCACAAGAUUCCAUCACUUUUUAUCAAAAUUUGCUAAAAUAUAAUUUUUAUCUAAACCAAACAGGGUCUAAUCAUCACAAGUCAUUUAAAUGUGUUAAUACAUCAAUUAUUUAUUUAUUUUAAUCUUUGGAGCAAAUAGAAUUCCCAAGGGUGGUAAUUGUUUAUAUAACCCAAAAUUGUGAUUAAAAACGGCUGAAAGACUAACGAAGAUCACGUACAAAAUAUAUGUGAAAUAUUCAGGGCGCAGACUUUUAGACAAAAUACAAUAGCCAAAAUUUUAAUUUCGUUUUCUCGAUCAUCUUCAUUAUUAAACUUUGUGCUUGAAUUAAUUUAGAUGCUAUGAAACUGUAAUUUAUAAAUGCAAAAUUGGAAAUAAAAUCUACGUAUGUAAUGGGGAAGAAUUUCAAGUCCACUCCCUAUGUCCAUUCUUCCAGGAAGCAGAAGGCAGCAUUCUAUUAUCAAACACUUUUGGAGUGUUAGAAGACUUCUGAAGUCAUCGUCUGUCUUUUAGUGGCAGAGAAAGAAAAAAUGCAAUUAAGUUGUUUAGUCUAAAUCUGGGCAGCAACUCAUUUGUUUCGUCUAAAACAAUGAAAAAGAAAGUUAGCUACUUCACAUUGGUUUAUAGUUCUCACCAUUUCUUGCAACCUCAAAAGUACAUGGAUUAGAAAUGGCUGAAAAAUUUAUAUGGAUCAAGUACAAGUACAUGACUUUUAAAUUUUUACUCUAAUGCAUUUCCCAUUUGACAAUCAUUAAAAUAAAACUCCUUUUUUUUUUGGUUGAAACUCAUUUUUAAUCACAUAUUCUCACAAUAAAAUAUUUUACAAGUAAAUUCAAAUUUUUUUUUUUACUUUUUAACCACAUCCUAAAAAAAAAUCACUAUUUCAAAACUCAUUAUUUCAAAAUAAAAAAAUAAAAAAAACCCCUUUUUAAUGGUUGUCAAAAAGGGAUAGAAAUAUUUAUCGCGCAGUAUUUUAAACAUAUUAUAGCCAAAAUUUAAUUUCUUUUUUCUUGUUCUUCUGCAUUAUUGUCCAGGCCAUAUGGUCCAUGGAACUUGCUAUGAAAGAGUUUUUACAAUAUAUUUACUAUCCAAGAAAAUUACAAAGACAGCCAUUCAGGCUUCUGACAAAUACAGAGACAUCCUUUCAAGUUUCGCAACAUUCUCUCUUCAACAUAAAAAGCAUCCAAUAAGCUAAACCAGAAUAGGAUUGCAUAGAUAAAUUGAGCAGCAAAUUCUACUAUAUAAUAAUAAAAUCACAUAUUGCUUAUGUGCUGUAUAGCUCAAUUUCUCAAUCUCUAGAUGUUCACUUGCUAGAACUAAACAAACAUUUAUCUACUUACUCUACAACGACGUACCAUAAUUUACUACUUCCAUGCUUGAUUCUAAAUUUUCCAAGUCAAUAAAAAUGGAUGAAGAAAUAAAACUUAGCGUACUCCUCACCAUUAAGGUCAUUAGAUAAUUUUAAGAGACUCUUUAAAUAUAAGAUACUUUCUGUUUUAAAGAAUCAACCCUUAAAAUCAUACUUUAAGAGACUCUUUUAAUUAACAUUUGGAGAGCCAAACCCACUCUCUAUUAUUAAAUGCAGUCAAAAUGUUUCAAUUUUUAAUGUAGGAAAAUAAUAAAAUAAUCUAAAGGAAAACUAGUUAAAAUCAAAUAUAGAAAAAAAUUUAAAAUAUUUUUUGUAGUAAAACUAAGUGUUAAAUAUAAAGAAUUUGUUGAAAUACUUCAAAAUUUUAUUUCUUUAAAUUUAGAAAUGCUUUUCAAAUGAUAGAGUAUACUCUUUCAAAAUAGAGUCUCUUGAAGACACUCUUCAAAAAUUUUAUUGAGCCUAAACCGAAUAAUCCCCUCUUUGACUCCGAUUUCUUAAAACUUAUUUUCAACCAUAUUUUUUUCACUUUUUAUCAAAAUUUACUGAGAUAUAAUUUUUAUCUAAACCAAAUAGGGUCUAAUCAUCACCAGUCAUUUAAAGGUUUUAAUACAUCAAUUUAUUUAUUUAUUUAUUUUAAUUUUUGGGGCAGACAGAAUUUCAAGGGUGGUAUGGUAAUUGCUUAUAAAACCCAAAAUUGAGAUUAAAAAUGGUUGAAAGACUUGCAAGGAUCACGUACAAAAUAGAUGUGAAAUAUUCAUGGCGCAUACUUUCAGACAAAAUACAAUAGCCAAAAAUUUAAUUUCGAUUUCUUCAUCAUCUUCAUUAUUGUCCAGGCAACGCACGGAACAUGCUACAUAAGAGUUUUUACAGUAUAUUACUAUUCAAGAAAAUUUCAAAGAAAGCCAUUCAGACUUGUAACAAAAUACAGACACAUCCCUUCAAGUUUAAAAAAUCACAACAUUCUCUCCUAAUAACAUAUAAAAUGCAUCUAAUAAGCUUAAGCCGUAGCAAGGUUGCAUAGAUAAAUCGAGCAUCCUUGAGAAUCAAGCAGCAAAUCUAUUUAUCAGUUACCUACAGCUUAACAUCACAUAUCUAUACUGGGCAUCAAAAUUAGAGUUCCAAUGUGAUUUAAGACUACAUUCAAGUUUGUUAUACUUACCAAUUAGAAAGUUUUUAAAGGAGCCGCAGUCUGUCAUCAGCAAGAAAUUAUAGCAAUCAACAGGAAAGUAAAAGCAGCAUCAACAGCUACUGCAUCAUCAUAAAACAGCACAGCAUCAAUAGCUGCUGCAUCAUCUCGUCCAUCAGCAACAACUACUCCUCAUGAUCACAGCUAUAGAAGGCCAAUAAAGGUUUCAUAUAAGUAAAUUAUUCAAUAAUCUAAAUUUAGUUUAUGCAACAGGAAAGCCAAAUCAUAGAGCAAAGCAAAUUUAUAGAUGAAAACUACGAAGGAUGCUAAAAUUCAAAGCAUUACAGAAACUGUAGAUUUAUAAAGCAAGGGGGUAAGACAUUUCUUAUGAUGUCAAACUGCAUAAAUUAGAUGCAGAUAUCAUCAAAACAAACCAUCGAUCCAGUACAAGAAAGAGUUCAACCUUAGGAAUAAGUUCAGGGAAAUCAGUUCUAGAGACCACUAAAUAGAUGAGAGACGAUACUAUAUAUCUGAAUAUUCUGAAAGACAAAAGCAGCCGCACACAGCUGCAAGCCAAUCCAUCAAACUGCACUUCAGUCUCUUACUCCUGGAAAAUAAUAUAAAAUAUAACAAUUUAAUGAACACUUUCAAAUGUGGAAAAAAUAAUUGAGAGAGGGUUUCAGAACUCACAUCAGCAUCAGAACGAGGAGUAGGGCUACGAGAAUCAGUACCACGACGAGGAGGAGAGAAUUUUUGGGGGUUGGAGACCGCUCUUUGCAAUUGAGAGAGCAUCUGGACUUCCACCCCUUGAAGUUGUUUGACGCGGAGAUGGGCUCCUCCGGGGACUAAGACUACGUCGAGCAGGGGAAGGACUAUUACAUACACCAAUUGGCUUCAUAAAACAAUUAUAAAGAACUAAAUUAAUUUAAAAAUUGACGAUGACAACAAAGAAGUUAGUAGCUCCCAUAAGACCGACUUCGACUACGCCUCUCAUCAUCAUCUUUGCCUCUUCCACGGUCUCUGUGAUACCUAUGACUAAGACUGUGAUUUCUGCUUCGGCUCCAACUUCUACGGCGAUAAUCCCUAUGCCUGCCACGAUGCCGUUCCUUUUCAUAUCUACCCUUACUUCUGCUGCGGCUUCUCUUCCUGUAAUCCUUCUCCCUGUAAUCAUCCCGGUACCAGAAUUAGUUUGAUUUAAAUCAGCACAUGAUGGCUUAAAUAUAAUUCUGCAAGAAGGCCAGAAAGUAUCAUUCGGAGAAAAACUAAGAAUACAGGUAAAAGAACUGAAAAAAUAACAAAUACAAGACAUGACAACUAGAUUUUUUUUUUCCUUUUUUCAAUGAUAGCAGAUUGCUGACUAAAAUUCUUUUCCAGAUUUGUACAACCCAAUUGACAUCCAAAAGCUGUAAAACAUAUUUUGAUAAGCCAUGGAAAUCUAGACAAUCUCAACGCAUGCGCAAGAAGACCUGCAGGUAUGUGGAAGAGUGAAGAUUGUGAGAAAUGCAUGCAUGCAAGACCAAGUUCCAAGCAGUCACCUGAUUUCCAGCAAAAGCAACGGCUGUCAGUUAAUAUUUAGUUUCUUUAAUAUGUAAUCAUUUUCUUUAUUCAGUUUCCUUAAUGUAAACGUGGGCUUUGAGAAUGGGUAUUCAGUUACCACUCAUGGCUAUAUAUAUUUGUAAUUUGACUGCAAUGUAAUAUAUCAGAAGAAAAUUGUUCUAAUUGUGGUUUAAUUCUGACCCUAAGAGAAUUUCAAUUACAAUUAAACUCUGAUUGGGACCUAUCAUUGGUAUCAGAGCAGCGUUGUAAUUAUUUUUGACAUUGUGUUGAAUUCAUGGCAACCAACAAAGAAAGGAUCGAGAGUCUAGAAGCCGGACUGCAGAAGAUGGAACUGGAUAUGGCCAAGGAGCUGCAACACCUCCAGGAAACCAUCAACCGCAUGUCAGAAACUUUUCUCUUGAACAAAGAAGGGUCCAGCAACCAUAACAACUAGCACACGAGCCAUUCUUGUGCUAACCAAGAGGAAGACAAAGGAGACAUAGAAGGUGGAAGGGUGAUCUUCUCAUAAAAAAUGGCUAAGCUGGAGUUUCCAAAAUAUUCAGGCAAUGAUCCGACGGAGCGGUUCAGCAAGGUCUACCAAUUUUUUGAAUACCAGAAUAACCCGGAGGCCCCAAAAAUUGCGUUGGCGUCAUUCCACCUUGAAGGGGAAGCCAACCAAUGGUGGCAAUGGCUGCACAGAGCAUACAAGGAGGAAGGAAGAACCGUGACAUGGGCAGUCUUUGAGGAAGAGCUGUGGGCACGCUUCAGACCAACCGAAUGUGGAGAUUUCGAUGAAGCACUAUCACGGGUCCGACAAGUUGGAUCCUUGCGCAACUAUCAGAAAGAGUUUGAAAGAUUGGGUAAUCGGGUGCACGGAUGGACUCAAAAGGCGCUUGUCGGGACAUUUAUGGGAGGUCUUAAGUCAGAAAUUUCUAAUGGGAUUCGAAUGUUCAAUCCAAAGACUUUAAAGAAAGCUAUCAGUCUUGCACGCAUACGAGUUGACCAACUCCUGCGCCAACGGAAGUUUACGCAGCUAGUACUUACCAACCGUUCGCCAAAUGCCAUAUCGGCUUCGACUCGAGUGAAGCGACUAACCUGGGAUGAAAUGCAGAAACGGCGCCCCUAGGGACUCUGUUUCAACUGCCUAGAAAAGUUCUCGGCCGGUCAUAAGUGCAAAGGGCCACAAUUGUUGUUGCUUGAAGGAAGCUCCAGUGGGGCGAAAUUUGGGUGUGAAGAAAUCACUGAUGAAGCUAUUGGGAAUUUAUUUAAACAUGCACAGCGGAAUUUAACAAAUUUCAAUUCCCAUUCAAGAUUCAACUGUGUAUUUAGAUAAAAACUGUGAUAAGAAAUAUACAUUUUCUUGUAAUUUGCAAACUCCUUCGCGUUAUUCCUUUCCAGCAGCUUGAAUCUGCCUUUCACAACUGUCCAAUUGUCCAGCCUCCAAUGAAAUCCACACAGAGAAUAGACUGCAACUGCUAGAGUUUCUCUUUUGUGCCAGCAAGAAUAAUGAAAAUCUUAUGGACCUCAAACCCUAGCUAUGUAUAUAUAUAUAAACCCAAACGGACCCGGUCCGGUCCGGUUCAAUAUUUAAUUAAUCCAAUUAAUUAAACCCGGUCCGUGAAUUAAUUAAUCCAAUUAAUUAAUUCGGGAAUAUAAAUAACAAAUUCAAUUAAUUAAUUUAUCCAACGAUUGUUAAAUUAACCAAUUGGCAAUUUGCAAUUUUCCAAUUCUCUUUUGUGUGCGACCCAUUAGGUUCCCGACCACGAUGCCUAACGUCGUGAAAUAUUAUUUUGAUCUAAUCAAAAUUGAUAAAUUAAUACACCCUUUUAAUUUAUCGUCAAUUCACACUCGCCGUCCCUGAUUGACAUCUAGCAAUGUGUCAGGGCAAUACAUGUGACGGAAAAUGUCACGUGGUAUGACAAAACCAAAUUCGUUCGUUUACCGUGAAACUAUUAUCCCUCCGUCAAUACGAUCCGAUCAAUUACGAGAUAUGGAAUUAUGUCAAUCUCGAUCAUUGAUCAUAUCUUUCACUCCACUAUAAAGUUAAUAUAAAUCGAAAACUCCUUUUCGACUUAACUUUUUGAUUUAUGAGUACACCUUGACCAAGGAUUUCAUCAUCGACUUAAUUGAAUGAAACGCAGAUCAUAAUCUCCUACUAUCUAAGAGUGACGAAUCCUUUAUUGAUUAAUCACAACUUUCAUACGAUUCUUGACGUACCCGAACGAUGUCGUAUUAUCGGCCCCUUUCAGAGCAACAUCCAACACCGUCAAAGUAUGACUGUCCUCAUAUAAGGUACCAUGACGACCUCAAGUCAAAGGACCAAUUCCACUACCGAACGUUAGAGAUUAGCCACUGACACUCAGAUAGUUAUCCAUGUGGAAUCUCUUAGCGGGUCUCCAAUGUUUUGUUCUAUAACAAAACAUCCACGUGUUCAUUUAAGUGUCACCACACUUUAACUCGUGAGAUCAGCUACUUAUUUCACAAGUAAGAAAUGCCACACGUGAUGGUCUAACUGUAUUAACGAUAUCCGUAUCUCGUUAUUACUUACGACCAUGGUUUAUUCAAGAUCCAAUUAUAUGUAAUUUGUAUAUCACAAUCACAACUCCUUGUGAUUAACAGAUUACCUAAAUUUUGGAUCUUCGGAUUCUAUUAUUUAAUAUUAUUUAUUACAAAAUUAAUUUAAAUAAAUAAUAGAUCUCGCCAAAAUCAAAUGCAUUAAAUAUAUUAAAAGCGUUUACAACCUAAAUCGAUUGGAUUUAGGGCAUAACACUUACAAACUCCCACUUGCACUAGAUCCAAUCACUCACGUAUCUAAUACCAUAAGCAUCCACAUGACGAUCAUGUUCUGUUGUGACAACGGCUUUGUCAGUGGAUCUGUAAUAUUAUCAUCUGUUGGAACUCGCUCUAUCGUUACGUCAUUCCUUUGUAUAAUCUCCCUGAUGAGAUGAUAUCGCCUUCGCACAUGUUUGGAUCGUUGAUAAGAUCUCGGUUCCUUCGCUUGCGCGAUGGCUCCAUUGUUAUCACAAUACAAAGGUAUGGGAUCAAUAAUGCUAGGAACGACUCCAAGUUCAUUAAUGAACUUCUUGAUCCACACAGCUUCCUUUGCUGCUUCAGAAGCAGCUAUGUACUCGGCUUCUGUUGUUGAAUCAGCGGUUGUUUCCUGUUUGGAACUUUUCCAACUAACCGCUCCAUUGUUGAGAGUAAACAUAUAUCCUGACUGAGACUUGCUAUCAUCUUUAUCAGUUUGAAAAUUAGCAUCAGUAUACCCCUGAAUUUUCAAUUUAUUUCCUCCAUAGAUCAAGAACACAUCUUUAGUCCUUCUCAAGUACUUAAGAAUGUUCUUAACCGCUAUCCAGUGUUUCUCAUCAGGGUUUGCUUGAAACCUGCUCGUAACACUUAGAGCAUACGAGACAUCUGGUCUUGUACAUAGCAUCGCAUACAUGAUAGAUCCUAUCGCCGAAGCAUAAGGAAUCUUGUCCAUGCGACUCCUUUCAUCAUAUGUUUUAGGACACAUAUCUCUUGAGAGGUAAAUCCCAUGUGACAUGGGGCAUAAUCAUCUUUUAGACUCUUCCAUAUUAAAUCUUAUCAAGAUUUUAUCUAUGUACGAAGAUUGGGAUAAGCCUAGUAAUCUCUUAGAUCUAUCUCUAUAGAUCUUAAUUCCCAAGAUAUACGCUGCUUCUCCCAUAUCUUUCAUGGAGAAAUUUUUUGACAACCAUAAUUUUACCGAUUGAAGCAUUGGGAUGUCAUUUCCCAUUAAUAAUAUGUCAUCGACAUAUAAUAUCAGGAAUACGACUGCGCUCCCACUUGUUUUCUUAUAAACACACGGUUCAUCUUCAUUUUUGAUAAAAUCAAACUUUUUGAUUAUUUCAUCAAAACGAAGAUUCCAGCUCCUAGAGGCUUGCUUUAAUCCAUAAAUGGAUCGAUUUAGCUUGCAUACUUUGUUGGCUCCUUUGGAUUCAAAACCUUCAGGCUGUAUCAUGUACACCUCCUCUUGCAGGUUUCCAUUAAGGAAAGCAAUUUUGGCAUCCAUUUGCCAUAUCUCAUAAUCAUGGUAUGCAACUAUUGCAAGCAAAAUUCGAAUGGAUUUCAGCAUGGCUACAGGCGAAAAAGUUUCAUCAAAGUCAAUACCUUGUCUUUGUGUGUAACCCUUCGUUACUAGCCUUACUUUGUAUGUGUGGACGUUUCCAUCCACAUCGACCUUUUUCUUGUAAACCCAUUUACAACCUAUCGGUUUUAUCCCACCUGGAAGGUCAACCAAGGUCCAAACCUUGUUUUCAUACAUUAAGUCCAUUUCGGAUUCCAUGGCAUCUUGCCAUCUCUUCGAAUCAACACUUGACUUUGCUUCUGCGUAAUUUGUAGGUUCAUCAUCCUCGAUUAAUAAUACUUGAUUAGUAAUCGUGAAUUCGUACCUCCUGGGAGGUCGAAUGAUCCUACUUGAUUUACGCUGAGUUGGAGUGUCCUCAGGGUUCUCUACAUCCUGAUCAAGAGUCUGUCCAUCAACAGGUGUAGGAUCAGACUCAAGUUCAUCUAAUUGGUCAAUAGUGUCUGUGGAUUCUUGAACUUCUUCAAGUUCUAGUUUGCUCCCACUACCCUCUCCUAGAAUAAACUCUUUCUCUAAGAAUAUGGCAUGCCUUGAGAUGAACACUUUCUUCUCAACGGGAUUAUAGAAUUGAUAUCCAAUUGUGUCCUUUGGAUAUCCCACAAAUGCACAUUUGUUAGAUUUAGCUUCAAACUUAUCUGAUUCAUUUCGCUUUACAUAAGCGUCACAUCCCCAAACUUUCAUAUGAGAUAAGUUUGGUCUUUUUCCUCUCCAUAGCUCGUAUGGAGUUUUGUCGACCGAUUUAGAUGGGACACGAUUAAGUGUGUAGCACGCUGCAAUUAGUGCAUGACCCCAAAAUGAUUUUGGGAUGUUUGCAUGGCUCAUUAUAGAUCGCACCACGUCUAACAAAGUGCGAUUCCUCCGUUCAAAUACACCAUUAUGUUGUGGUAUAUAUGGCGGAGUCCACUGCGAGAGAAUCCCGUUCUCUUUAAGAUAAUCUAAAAAUUCUCCCUUUAAAUAUUCUCCACCUCGAUCUGAUCUCAGCGUAAGUAUAUUUUUACCAGUUUAUUUCUCUACUUCAAGUUUGAAUUCCUUGAACUUUUCAAGUGCUUCAAGCUUGAAUUUAAUCAGAUACACAUAACCAUAUCUAGAAUGAUCAUCAGUGAAUGUGAUGAAGUAAGAGAAACCACCUCUGGCAGUUAUUGACAUGGGUCCACAUACAUCAGUAUGUAUUAGUCCCAACAGUUCUGUGGUUCUUUCUCCUUUUCCAGUAAAAGGGAACUUGAUCAUUUUGCCUAACAGGCACAACUCGCAUCUGUCAAAUGAUUCAAAAUCAGUUGACCCUAAGUAUCCAUCUUUAUGUAACUUAGAAAUGCGUUUGUCGUUAAUAUGACCCAAUUUGCAAUGCCAAAGGUAUGUAUUAUUUAGAUUAUCACUUUUAUGCCUUUUAUUUUCCAUAUUCAUAAUAGACGACUCAGUAUCAAGAAUAUAAAUUCCAUUCUGCAACACACCACAACCAUAAAAGAUCUCAUCUUUAUAAAACGAACAACGAUUGUUCUUAACAUUAAUUGAAAAACCACUUAUGUCUAAACACGAAAUAGAAAUAAUGUUUUUAGUAAUGGCGGGAACAAAAUAGCAAUUUUCUAAUUCUAAUACUAAGCCUGAAGGCAGUGGUAAGAAGUAUGUCCCUACAGCUAAUGCAGCAACUCUUGCUCCAUUUCCCACACGCAGGUCAACUUCUCUUUUCUGCAGUGUUCUACUUCUCUUUAGUCCCUACAUAUUUAUACAAAUAUGAGAUCCACAUCCGGUAUCUAAUACCCAAGAAGCUAAUGAAGUAGACAUAUUAACCUCGACAACAAAAGUACCUAAAGUAGAAGCUUCAGAAGACUUCUUUCCCUUCAAGCUUGCGAGGUAAGCCUUGCAGUUUCUCUUCCAAUGAUCUUUCACUCCACAGUGAUAACAUGGGUCAUCAGAUUUGGUAUUGUCCUUGCCUGCUUUGACUGCUUUGUUAUUGCCUUUAGCCUUUUUGGAUGUUUUCUUAAAACUUCCUUUGAUUUUCCUCUUAGUUCCCUUGGAGGAAUGAAUAGCUAAGACAUACCCAGUGCUAGCCUUAACAUUGAGCUCCACAGUUUUAAGCAUAUUAAGCAACUCAGGGAGUGUGCAUUCGAUCUUAUUCAUGUUAAAAUUCAAAUGAACUGUGAAUAACUAUCUGGCAGAGAUUGUAGAAUCAAGUCAAUACUUAGUUCAUGAUCCAUGAUAAAACCCAGUGAACUCAGUUUUUCAAUAAAACCAAUCAUCUUCAGCACGUGAGCAUCGACUGAUGAUCCCUCUGCCAUUUUGCACCGGUAUAGUUGUUUAGAGGUCUCAUACCUCUCCACACGAGAUUGUUCAUCAUACAACUUCUUGAGAUGAAAAAUCAUAGUGUAAGCAUCCAUACCCUCAUGUUGCUUCUGCAACUCAGGAGACAUAGCUACAAGCAUCACAGAUGCUGCAGUGUUAUCGUCAUCACUGUGUUUAUUGUAAGCAGCCACCUCUUCCUGAGUGGAAUUUUCAGUAGGCACCGCUGGAAAGGACUGCUCAAGGACAUAUCCAAUUUUCUCAUGCUUGAGAACGAUUCUCAAAUUGCGGUACCAAUCGAGAAAAUUUGGUCCGGUCAGUUUGUUGGCAUCCAGUAUGCCUCUCAAAUUCAUAUGAUUACUCAUGAUUCAAAAACUGUGAAUGACAAAAAAAUAGAAUUAAUAUGUAUUGUAAUGCAUGUGCAUAAAUUCAAUAUGGACUUUAAUUAAAUGUGCUCCCACUGUCUAAAAUAAAUUCAUAACCCUCAUACAUAAAUUAUUUGAAUCCACACUUGAUUCACAGUGGGCUGGGAUCCCAUUCGUUGUAUCGAGAUCUUGAGUGUACUCAACAAAUCCUAAUAAAACAUUUGGGUAGAUAUUAUUAUAAAUUGUAUUUCCAUACAACUCCCAGAUCAUUAAACUGACAACUCUUUUGUCUUCACACAUCUUAUGUUUUAGCUUAACAUGCCUCUAAAACUUAUCUCCUUGAGUGUACUCAACAAAAGAUAAAUUUUAGUUAAAUUAAACCCAUCAUUCAGAAAUAUCAAAUAUUUCAUAGUGUCAAACAUAUCCCUAAUAGACCAGCCUUGAGUGUACUUAACAAGCUAAGGUCGAUUUAGGAUUCUCAUUUUUCACUAUAAUGAUGGAAGGCAAAUAAUACUAACUUAAUAAUUUUUUUUAACGAGGGAUUUAAUGUGCAAUGGUUUCAUCAAGCAAUUAUAUAUAUAUAUAAACAUACAUCAACUACGCGAAUAAAUACAUAUAUAUAUAAGUAAUAGUAUGAAUGAUUAUGAACUUGUUCUAUCUAGUUUUCCCGAGCCAAAAGGAAAACUAGUUGGUCAAUUCCUAAGGGGUACAGUAUUGGACCAAUAGCAAUACACCAUCUCCAUGGUGUCCACCUCUUCUUGCGCCUCCAAUUAGCCGAACUUGCAACAUGUAUUCUAUACUAGUUGGCACGCAAUAACAAUAAUAACGGACUCGCAGGUCCAAUAUUUAAUAAGGAGCUCACAGGCCCACAACGACAAUAAGAAGUAAAUCAACCAUUCAACACAUCCAUAUGGUCGAAUCCAUAAUCAUCCACAAACAUUCAUCACAUAAAUGUUUCCUAUGUAUAAUAUCUAAUAUUGUAUGUAAUGUCUCAUAAAUCUAGCAAUUAUAGUCGUCAAAAUUGAAUCAAAAUUUUGGGAUCGAGAUAAUUAAACAAGUAAUUAAUCGUAUUAAUUAAUUAAUUUAAUUGACGGGCCUAUUUAAUUAAAAUCAAAUUUUAACUAAAUCCCGAAUUAGAGUCCAACUCUAACUCCAUAACUAUUUGGAGAAGUAAUUUAAUCAAAAUCGAAUUUUAAUUAAUUAUUAAAUUAGAGUCAUAUUCUAAGUACUGAUUUGCAUAGGAAAGUGGUGCUAAUUCAAAACAAAUUUUAAUUAAUGUAAUAUUAGAGUCCAACUCUAAUAAAAUUGAAUUAAUAUUUUAAUUUAGGACAAAAUUCCCAAACAUAAUAAAAAUUCAAUUAAGGGUCAAAUUAAAUAUUUAAGUUAAAAUCUAAUUUUAACAAAANNNNNNNNNNNNNNNNNNNNNNNNNNNNNNNNNNNNNNNNNNNNNNNNNNNNNNNNNNNNNNNNNNNNNNNNNNNNNNNNNNNNNNNNNNNNNNNNNNNNNNNNNNNNNNNNNNNNNNNNNNNNNNNNNNNNNNNNNNNNNNNNNNNNNNNNNNNNNNNNNNNNNNNNNNNNNNNNNNNNNNNNNNNNNNNNNNNNNNNNNNNNNNNNNNNNNNNNNNNNNNNNNNNNNNNNNNNNNNNNNNNNNNNNNNNNNNNNNNNNNNNNNNNNNNNNNNNNNNNNNNNNNNNNNNNNNNNNNNNNNNNNNNNNNNNNNNNNNNNNNNNNNNNNNNNNNNNNNNNNNNNNNNNNNNNNNNNNNNNNNNNNNNNNNNNNNNNNNNNNNNNNNNNNNNNNNNNNNNNNNNNNNNNNNNNNNNNNNNNNNNNNNNNNNNNNNNNNNNNNNNNNNNNNNNNNNNNNNNNNNNNNNCAGAGAAUAGACUGCAACUGCUAGAGUUUCUCUUUUGUGCCAGCAAGAAUAAUGAAAAUCUUAUGGACCUCAAACCCUAGCUAUGUAUAUAUAUAAACCCAAACGGACCCGAUCCGGUCUGGUUCAAUAUUUAAUUAAUCCAAUUAAUUAAACCUGGUCCGUGAAUUAAUUAAUCCAAUUAAUUAAUUCGGGAAUAUAAAUAACAAAUUCAAUUAAUUAAUUUAUCCAACGAUUGUUAAAUUAACCAAUUGGCAAUUUGCAAUUUUCCAAUUCUCUUUUGUGUGCGACCCAUUAGGUUCCCGACCACGAUGCCUAACGUCGUGAAAUAUUAUUUUGAUCUAAUCAAAAUUGAUAAAUUAAUACACCCUUUUAAUUUAUCGUCAAUUCACACUCGCCGUCCCUGAUUGACAUCUAGCAAUGUGUCAGGGCAAUACAUGUGACGAGAAAUGUCACGUAGUAUGACAAAGUCAAAUUCGUUCGUUUACCGUGUAACUAUUAUCCCUCCGUCAAUACGAUCCGAUCAAUUACGAGAUAUGGAAUUGUGUCAAUCUCGAUCGUUGAUCAUAUCUUUCACUCCACUAUAAAGUCAAUAUAAAUCGAAAACUCCUUUUCGACUUAUGAGUACACCUUGGCCAAGGAUUUCAUCAUCGACUUAAUUGAAUGAAACGCAGAUCAUAAUCUCCUACUAUCUAAGAGUGACAAAUCCUUUAUUGAUUAAUCACAACCUUCAUACGAUUCUUGACGUACCCGAACGAUGUCGUAUUAGCGGCCCCUUUCAGAGCAACAUCCAACACCGCCAAAGUAUGACUGUCCUCAUAUAAGGUACCAUGACGACCUCAAGUCAAAGGACCAAUUCCACUACCGAACGUUAGAGAUUAGCCACUGACACUUGGAUAGUUAUCCAUGUGGAAUCUCUUAGCGGGUCUCCAAUGUUUUGUUCUUUAACAAAAUAUUCACGUGUUCAUUUAAGUGUCACCACACUUUAACUCGUGAGAUCAGCUACUUACUUCACAAGUAAGAAAUGCCACACGUGAUGGUCUAACUGUAUUAACGAUAUCCGUAUCUCGUUAUUACUUACGACCAUGGUUUAUUCAAGAUCCAAUUAUAUGUAAUUUGUAUCUCACAAUCACAACUCCUUGUGAUUAACAGAUUACCUAAAAAUUGGAUCUUCGGAUUCUAUUAUUUAAUAUUAUUUAUCACAAAAUUAAUUUAAAUAAGUAAUAGAUCUCGCCAAAAUCAAAUGCAUUAAAUAUAUUAAAAGCGUUUACAACCUAAAUCGAUUGGAUCUAGGGCAUAACACUUACAGAAGCAACUACAGAGACUACUAUAAUGGAGCAAACCAAGCCUGAAAUUUCAUUGCACGCGCUAAUUGGGUGGACAGUUUCCAAAACUCUGAGAGUCACAGCAAAGAUUGGACCUCAUGAGUUUAGUGUACUUAUUGACAGGGGAUCAACCCAUAAUUUUAUCAGUGAAAAAGUGGCCAGCUUGCUUCGGUUACCUGUUAUUCCAACUAGAGCUUUCACCGUACGAGUUGCUAAUGGAAGCCAACUUCAAUGUGAAGGACGGUUCGAACACGUCUAUAUUCUCCUGCAGGGUAUCUGUUUUUCACUCACUUUCUAUUUCUUACCAUUAACUGGAUUAGAUUUGGCGUUGGGAGUACAAUGGUUGGAAUUGCUUGGCUUUGUUAUAUGCAAUUGGAAGGAGAUGACAGUGGACUUUGAAUGGGAGAAUCAAGCCUGUAGGUUACAACGGACGAACACCCCAACAAUUCAAGCAGCAUCACUCAGAGUCGUUUCCAUAGAGAUGCGACAAGGAAGCACUGCAUUUGCGAUGUGUUUGCAGACAAUGGAAUGGAUGAUUAGCUAGAUUGUCCAACCAGAUUUACAGAAUAUAAUAGAUGAAUCAACUACCCCCAACCAGAGAAGUGGAUCAUCAUAGACCACUGAAAGGAGCACAACCUGUUAAUGUGAGGCCAUAUAGCAAGUCUAUUUUUGGGCACGAAGAGUUGGAGUACUUGGGCCAUAACGUCACUUCACAAGGAGUUCGGGUGGACCAAAAUAAAAUAAAGGCAAUGAUGGAUAGGCCUUGACCUACUAAUAUAUCUGACUUACAUGGUUUUUUGGGGCUCACUGGUUACUACAGGAAGUUUGUUUGUAACUAAGGGGUGAUGGCUCGACCACUAACUAAUCUGCUAAAAAAGGGUCAGUUUGGUUGGAGUGAGGAAGUAGAGGUUGAAUUCCAUUCUCUCAAACAGGCCAUGACAACAACACCUACACUUGCCAUGCCGAACUUUAAAGGGCCAUUUACCAUUGAAACUGAUGCCUCAGGUAGUGGGAUUGGUGCUGUCCUAUCACAACAGGGAAAGCCAAUUGCUUUUAUGAGUAGAGCUCUGGGAGUAUCCAAACUAUCCUGGUCCAUUUAUGCUAAGGAGAUGCUAGCCAUUAUAGAAGCAAUACGAACGUGGAGGCCAUAUUUGCCUGGAGGGAAAUUUUUCAUUUAAACGGAUUAGCGAAGCCUUAAAUAUUUGUUAGAACAGUGGAUAGUUCUCCAGAAUAGCAAAUGUUACGGAAGCUCUCUCAAAAGAUCUUCAAACGGUGGUUUUCCAGGCUCAGUCCAACGUACCUUUCUUUACUAACAACCAAUCCAAUCGGCUCCAAACCACAAUCAAUUGAUUCACCUUGGUUGCUAUUCAAUCUUACCCACGUAGGACAAGAAAUGAUGAUGAUUUAUUGCCACAAAGGCUAAGAGAAGACACCACAAAGGUAUAAUAUGAAAGAACCACUAAUUGCACACGUUAUACCAGCGUUCUGGACACCUUUUUUCUCACACAAAGGGGGGCAGCCGGGAUUCCCUUGUUUUCUCUCAAAAUCACACAAUCAUCAUAUCAAAGUGGUUAGGGUUAUAGCCAAAUAUAUACUAUAGGGUUAGGCUCUAAGUUGGACCAUUAAAAGGGUAAACGGGCCAAGAUUCAAGCCAUCCAUAAGGAAUACAAUUGGGCCGAGUGUAGCUCAUGGACUUGGUUGUUGGACUUAUUUCAUUCAUUGGCCUAUACCUAUGAAAUAAUAUUAACCCACGUUAACAUCAUGGCCCGUGAUUUAUUGGGUAUAAAAAACGCAACAGCAAAAGUGGGUGGCAAAAUUAUUGGGCUAUGAUUAUGAAAUUUUAUACCACCCCGGCAAGGAAAAUUCGGCAGCAGAUACGCUUUCACGGGUGGUAGAUAGUCCUAUUCUACAUGCCUUAUCCAUACCGCAAGUUCGGAUAUGGGAUAAAAUUAAAACUAUAUCAGGUGACCAUCCGUAUAUGCAACGGGUUUGCCAGCUAGCAAAGUCCAACCCAGGUGCUCCUUAUAUAUGGCGUGAUGGACUAGUAUUUUAUAAAAAUCGAGUUGUAGUGCCUCCAAAUUCAUUUGUGGUGUCAAAGCUGAUGCAAGAGUUUCAUGAUUCACAAAUUGGUGGCCAUUUAGGAGUUCUAAAGACUUACAAACGCAUUGUACAACAGUUCUACUGGCCAUCACUGUACAAAACCGUAAAGGAGUAUGUGGCGGCUUGUGACAUCUAUCAAAAGUCCACGGCUGAAACGCUCUCUCCUGCAGGUCUUCUCCAACCACUACCCAUUCCAUGUCAAGUGUGGGAGAAUAUCACUUUGGAUUUUAUUGAAGGAUUGCCUAUAUCACAUGGUAAAGAUAUCAUUCUGGGAGUAGUGGACAGACUAAGUAAGUAUGCUCACUUCCUUACUUUAGCUCACCCAUUUACUGCCAAAACAGUAGCUGAAAGAUUUGUUGACGGGGUAGUGAAACUUCACGGUAUGCCAAGGUCUACUGUUAGUGAUCGUGAUCCGAUUUUUCUCAGUAAAUUUUGGCAAGAAUUUUUUAAGCUUUCAGGAACCCAUUGAAAAUGAGUGCAGCAUACCAUCCCCAAACAGAUGGCCAAUCGGAAGUGACCAAUAGGUGUGUGGAACAAUAUUUACGCUGCUUUGUAUACCAGCAAACUCGUAAAUGGAGUGAUCUCAUCCCAUGGGCUGAAUUUUGGUACAACACCGCCUACCACGCAUCUGCAGGGAUGACUCCUUUUCAAGCCCUCUAUGGUCGGCUGUCUCCUGCAAUCCCAUAUUAUCAGAAGGGAACAACGCUCGUCAAUGAGGUCGAUCAAAGUCUUUCCUCGCGGGAUGCCUUACUCAAUCAAUUGAAAAACAAUUUGCUUGUCGGUAGUAAUCGUAUGAGGCAGGCAGCGGAUAAGAAAUGACGUGAUAUCGAGUUUCAAGUUGGCGACCUUGUCUAUCUUAAGUUACAUCGUUAUCGCUAGCACUUAGUUUUCAAAAGAGCUUAUCACAAACUUGCUAGCCGAUUUUAUGGGCCUAUAAAGUGGAGCAACGUGUGGGAAAGGUGGCAUACGAGCUGCAGUUGCCGGAAGGAGCUCGUAUUCACCCUAUAUUUCAUGUCUCCUUACUUAAAAAAGAAGCUGGGUACUCCUUGUGCUGUCAACAACAAACUACCACCCAUUUCUGAGGAUGGCAUUGUUGAGCUAAAACCCGAGUCAAUCUUGGAGACGCGCCAGGUUGAAAAAGGGAAGAAGUUUGUUGAAGAAAGCCUAGUUAAGUGGCUUCGUCUUCCAGCAGAGGAAGCUACCUGGGAAGAUACUCAGGAGCUGAUUAACCAGUUCAAGGAUGUGGACCUCGAGGACAAGAGUCCACUUCGACGGGGAGGUAAUGAUAAGCCAUGGCAAUCUAGGCAAUCUCAACGCAUGCGCAAGAAGACCCGCAGGUACGUGGAACCUUUUAAAGUGCAUUUUCUAAUCUACCUCAUCCAUUUUAAUUUAACAUUCAAUUAGUUCGAUCUAAAAUCAAGUUCUAAAGACAUUUAUUCUCCUGUAUGAAAUUUAUUCGAACUAUACUUUAUGAAAUUUUCAUGAAUCUUUAUUGGCAUUAAACUACUGCCCCGUUGUUUUCUUCUUUGAGGAUAAGCUGUAAGAUCCCUCUUAGGACUGAAACCUCCAGACUCCAGAGAGAGUGGGUGUGAUCAUACUCCUCUAAAUGUCUACAUCUCCCAGCUGUUCUCUUUCCUGGGCAUUUUCAUGUCGAUGGUGCGUCCAAAAGGUACAAGACAAAAAUUCCCUACAAUUACAUUGUAGUACUAGAGCAAUUAAAGAGAUGUGGCACAGCUUGGUAGUGCGUUUGAAAUAUAAGAGUUUAAGUACACCUUGAAAAGGGCAAAAAAAUGGUUACCUGGAAAGUUUCGUGGCAUCACACACAAACAAAGACAAAAAGGAAAGGAAAGGAAAGGAAAAUAAAAUCAACUUGUUAUUGCUUUUGUUUGGUUCCAAGCAAUCAUCAUUGAAAAUGGUUCAUUAAUGUAGGGCUUGUUUCACUAAAGAUCACAGUUUAUCCAUUUUUUUUGUUUUUAUAGUGGACGCCGUCUAGUUGAUAAAUAGCUUUAAUUUAAUCAGCAAUUGCAAAUUAGAGUUGUCUCCUUGCCUUAUUGAAAAUUAAUCAAUGGACUGUUCACACAACCUAACAUUUUCUUAAGAGGAAAUUACUGUGACACUCCUAAAUUGUUUGAUUAUCACAGUGACAUCUUAAACCACUGAUAUAGUAAAAAACAAAUAUGCAGUCCUUUAGCAAACCUUUUUGAUAGUUUUAUAAUACUUUCUUGAUAGAAAUGACUUAUGAUGACUACACCAGCUUGUAUGAUGAAAAUGAGUAAAAUAUUUAGGAUUUUUCCAUUUGUACGUUCUUGGAUUACAUUAUUGUUGACAUUCCCUUUGUCUUUAAAAAAAUGUAUAGGAGGGAAAACACACACACACACACAUGAUAGUUUGUCAUGUCGCAAACUAUCAAACUUGAUGUACACCAACAAGAUUAAAGUAUUUAUCACAAUGUCAAUGAUAUACUUAGAACCCACGGAUUUCGCCCAAUUCUAAAACUAUGUAAACCGUUUCCUAUAAAAUUUUAUGCUACCUAGGCCACACAAUACUUUAGCCCGUGUUUUUCUACCAAUAUUUAAAUAUAUUUUUUCUCAAAUUCAUUUUUAACCAUACAUUCUUACAAUAAAAUAUUUUGCACGUAAAUCCAAAUUUUUUCCCUACUUUUAACCAUGCAUUCGUCAAAAAUUCAUUAUUCCAAAAUCCAUUUUCCUACUUUAAUGGUAGACAAAUGGGUGUUUAAUUUGAUCUUCAAUUUAGAUUAAUGUCUAUCUUUUCAGUCAAUUACAUUAUAGGUGGUGUCACAACGAGGCCUUUUCUUGAGAAAUUCUUCCCUUCAAUACUAAAGAAUGCAGCUGGGGCUGAAACAAAUGUGUACUGUGCGUAUGACAGCCAGAUUCUUACGUCCUUCACAUCUUCACUCUGUAUAGCCGGACUAGCUGCCUCCCUUGUCGCCAGUCGCUUCACGGCAGCUUUAGGCCAUAGAAACAUCAUGGUAUUAGGUGGUCGUAAUUUCUUUGCAGGUGUAGCUAUCAAUGGCGCUGCUGAGAAUAUUACUAUUCUCAUUUUGGGCUGCAUUUUGCUAGGAUUUGGGGUUUGUUUUUUACCAACCAGGUACCACUUAUGAUUUGAAUUUUUACUGGUAUUAUUGAUGGGCCAAGUGUUGGCUUUUAAUUUGUUCGUUUUGGAAUCCUUGCUUGUUUAUGAAAUGAACCUCCUUAUAUUGGCAAACCAAUGGUCAUUACCAACCAGAAAUAUUUUUUUUAGUGGCCGUAUCCUGAACCAACUAGUCUAAAAAUUUAAAAGGUCUUGAACUUACCAAUCCUGCAUGCUGCCACUUCUGCAUGUUACAAUACUAUAUUGAACCACCAAACUUUAAAGCUCCAAGUCUUUAGACACAUGCUACAUUACUUUGUUUAUUUAAAUCAUGUCUUCGAUCUAAGACUUCUAUUUCUGAAAACAAGUAUCAAAUUAUAUGUUAGAAAUAAUUUGCUGAGACAAUUCCUACGCCUUCCAAAGAGUUUUGGAUUGCUAUCUUGAUUGAUUAUAUGCUGAGAGAAUUCCUGAUGAGGACAUCUAUUAUUAUUUAUUUCUAGUUGGUCUUUAUUUUGUUUUAGAUUCUUAUUUAUGUAAUUGGGUUUGUAUUGGCCCAAACUCGUUCUAGUUAGGGGUUUUUUUAUUAUUUAUUUAUUUAUAUAAAUCUAAUUUUCCAUAUAAUUUUGACAGUUGAUGAUUGAAUAAAACUAUUUUGGUGGCUUGUGAAAAUUUUCUCCAUUUUCUCCAUCUUUCUUCUAUUGAUUCUUCUUCUACCCCCGUCCUUCCCUAAUUGAUUCCCUCCUCUAUAGAUUUGUUCUCAUUUUCAAUUAAUUGUUCCAAUUGGUGUUGUAUAAAUUCCUAUGACCUCCCAUUUUAUCAGUAGUAAUUUCUCACAUUAAUAAUCUUAAUAAAAUUGACAAUUAUUCGAAAUUGUCCCAUGAAGGGUACUCCUGUUUACCUCUCGAAAAUGGCUCCACCGAAAUGGCAGGGUGCAUUCAAUACCGGCUUCCAAUUCUUUAUAGGCAUUAGUGUAGUGGCAGCAAAUUGCAUAAACUACGACACCGCCAGCUUGCAUUUGGGGUGGCGCAUCUACUUUGGCCUUGCCAUGAUACUGGCUGCUGUCAUGAUAUUGGGCGCUUCCCUAAUCUCAGACACACCUAGUAGCCUUGUGGAGCGGAGCAAAAUUGAACAAGCCUGAAAAUCUCUAGUGAAAUUCCAUGGAUUUGAACCCAAAUCCGAUCCCAACAUUGAAAAUGAACUAGUUGAACUAAUCAAGUGCAGUGAAAUUGCAAAAGCCAUAAAUCAAGAACCAUUUGUUACUAUAUUGGAGAGACAAUAUAGACCUCAUCUAGUGAUGGCGAUUGUCAUAACAUUUUUCCAGCAAGUAACUGGAAUCAAUAACAUUGCAUUCUACACCCUGGUGUUAUUUCAAUCAGUUGAUUUUGGAAGUGAUUCAGCUUUGAUUGACGCCAUAAUUCUAAGGUUAGUUAACCUCGAAUCAAUUCUUGUCACUACAACAAAAUUUACUUUUUAAGGCGUACAUGCACAUGCUGCAUAAUUCUAUGUCAUAUAUGCUCGCAUCCUUUUACGGCAUGCAAUGCUCGCCAUAAAUAAAGGAAAGCAUGUCGUUAAUGCAUUUUUCAAAGCAUGCAAAUACUCAGUUCUUUUACGGUGUGCACUUACACGCCAUAAAUACACUUCUUUCAUGAUGUGCACUUGCACGCCGUAAAUGUGAAUUUCAUUUUUUUAAAAUAUUUAUUUAUUUACUUACAAACAAGCUUAUAAUAAUUAAUAAUUAAAAGAACUACAUAUACCAACACAUAUAAUAUAAUCAUGUUUUCCAUAAUUUCAAUAAAUAAUAGUAUUAAGUGCAAUCAAAUACAAUAUACCAAAAAUGUAGGGUUAAUCUAAAUGAUUACUAAGAACAUCAUUAGCCUAUUCAAAAAGUUGAUGUCAAUAUACCAAAAGUAUCGAUUACCACUCCAAAAAUAAUUUAUUAAAAUAGUACAAAAUAUCGACCCAUAUUGAAGACAUCCCACAAUCAUGGUGAUCUCUUGUUGGCAAGUAAGCAUUGGACCAGUUUUGCAGCUUGUGACAGGGUCAGUGGAUACCAGAUCGCGGAUGCCAUAGCUUUAUUUUAGUUUGUGAGGCUGAGGAGUCCUGAAAUAAAAAAUAAAGAGAAAAAGUAACUGAUCAUGGUGUACCUUUUUAAAAUAAAUACCAAGUGACAAACAUCAAGUCCAGUUCCUAACAAAGCAAAGAAAUAAAGCUAUCAACAUCAAAUUCAUAUUCUCGGAGUGUCAUCAUGAAAAGUUUUAACAUGAAUAAUCAAUUUUAAUAAGCAAGCUUUUGCAAUGCCAUGAGAUUUAUUUGCUUGCGAACCAAUCUAUUUUGAAAACACAGCAGCAUAUUGCCCUUAAAGAGGAAGAUAGGCCAAGUUAGGAAGUUCAUAUUUAAACAGGAAGUUUAACUUUUGAAACUUCAAAAAAUUAAGCAGCAAAUAUUCCAAUUAAGUUUUUGACUUAUCACUGCCCAAGGAUCACUCGACUAAAUAAAGAAUAAUGCAUACACAAUGAUUUGCAAAAUGUACAUAAAUUCAGUUGGCUUGGCAGUGCUAAUUAUUGAAAUUUUCAAAUCAUCCAUAGUGAUCAGAGCUACAACUUUUAACCGAACACAAACAAGCAAACAAUUUUCAUUUAUAUUCGUGGCUCAUUUGGUAGAUCAAAAAAAAAAAAAAAAAAAAAAAAGGCAAAGAAAAAAAAAAAAAAAAAAAAAAAAAAAAAAAAAUAAAUUCUCCCUUUUUUUUUUUUUUUCGGGCUCACGAAAAUAUUGAAUUACAACAUUUAGUCGUUAAGAAAUUCAAUAUUAAAUAAAUUUUAUACAUUUAUAACAAAUUAUAAAUCAAAUCGAUAUUUUCUUUUACGUUAAUGAAGGAAUAUAAUUAAAAGAAUAUGUCUAACUUCAAGAUAAUGCAAAAAUAAAAAAAGCAUACUCUUAAAAAAAAAUCACAGCAAUACAGAUGAAUGAACAAACAUAAUAAACAUUAUACAAAGAAAAAAAAAAGCUAUGAAAAACAAAAGAAGCCUUUGAAAAAAAAAAAAAAAAAAAGAGGCUACCAGGAAUAUUAAGUGAAACAUGAACGGAACAGGCAAAAAUAACGUACCAGAAGUAAAUCCAUAUGUAGCCAACAAAGCUUUAUUUACAAUAAUAAGUCCAACAGAAGUAACGAUAUUGAACAUCGAAGCAUCAACAUCAAGAGCCGGUUUUUGGUCAUCCUUGCCUGUCAGAGGCAUAUUCUUCCACUGCUUUAAAAGAGACUAGAUUGCUAAUGAUCUUCAGCUUCAGGAAACGACAAAUAUCAGAUCAAUUUAGAGCUGGAACAAGAUCAUUAGGUCCUAAAUCUAUUUCUCUAUUGACUAACAAAGUGAAUUCCCAGACAAUUUUUCAGUGUCAAUAUUAUACUGACCAAGAUAUAUAAUACCACAUAAGCAUAGUUUCGCCAAAAUUGAACGACAAGUCCACAGUUAUCGAAGGUCUAUCACAUCUCACAAAAAGUUAUCCCCUCUAUGUAUUGACCAUAUGACAAAAGGAAAAACUAAAUUUCCCAGUUAGUGGAGUUGAUUGAAAUCCUUUAAAUGUUUGAUACACUAAUUACAUAUUCACCCAUCACAUAUUUAAUCUUGCAUAUAAGAAAUGAUCGAAAUAAAACGUCAAUUAUUCAGGUUAAGUAUAAAUAUAACAAUAAAACAGCUAGUACUGUCGUCCAAGAAGUUAUAAUUCAAUCUAUCCAUAUAAAAUCCCCUAUUUCCAUCACAGAUCCCCUAAAAACACACUUCAAUGAUCAUGAUAAUGCUCAAAAUCCAAAAACCCAAAAAUUAAAUCAACCAAAACAAGCAAAAAGAUUUCCAAUAGUUACAUGUCUAACAAAAUUCUAUCAAAUUCGCUGCACCCAGAAGGAAAAGAUAAAAAUUAACACAUGUAACUAUAUAGAGCCCAAUCUUAAACUCAAUCUUCCAAAUAUCAUACACAAUCAUAGACUUGCAUCACUCGAUUUCAGACAACAAUUCACGCAAAUGGGUUUUCUUAAUGUCCUCAACAUGUGCGUGAAAAUGCACAAGUACACCACAUAAAUAGACACAGCUAAAUCAAAUCGAAAAAUGCCAAGAGUUGAAAUUUUGAAUUUACCGUCAAAUCCUUCCACGGUUCGGUUUCAAAGAUUAGAGAAGAUGAAGCCAUCUACCAGGAUUUCAACGCCAUUUCACAGAUGAAACUAUAAAUUAAAAGGCUAAUACAGGUUUGUACAGGGGCGGAACUGCAAGGCCUGGCCUGCAACAGAUCUCGCGAUCGAGAAGAUUGAAUGGCAGAGAUUGAGAAGACUGGCCGUGUAGUGUCGUCGUCUAAUCGUGAAUCGUCCCAGAGCUGAGACGCCUGGCAAAGUCGUGGAAAGGCGGAGUUGACGUAGCGGUGGUGGAUGAAAUGCCACGUUUUAGGGCAUUGUAAACUUUCAAAUUUUUUACAGUGAACACUAAAAGCAUGCCGUAAAUGCUCGUUCAAUACGGCGUGCAGAGGAUGUACAUCGUAAAUAUUUUAACUAAUUAAUCUUUUACGGCAUACAUAUAGCGGAUGCCAUAAAUAGUCUCUUUUUACGACUUGCCAUAAGUGAAUGCCGGAAAAAUUUGCUUUUGUUGUUGUGUGUGUUCACUUGCCUUGUUGAUCGGUAUGGUCGAAGAUUUCUAUUCAUUGAGGGCGGGACUCAAAUGUUCAUUUGUCGAGGACAUUUUUCAUAUCUAUCGUACUAUCUACUCAUAUAGAGUGUUUAGUAUUACGUAUCAAACAUGUUUGCAGUAUCUAUACGUUUAUUGAUAUUAUUAUACAAAAAUUGACAAUUAAAUUCUUGUCGUUUUGGAAAGGUCUCGACUGCUUGUGUACUAGCUGAUGUAACGGGUGUGUCAGCAACAAGACAUACAUCGAAGGAAUACGUAGCAUUGAUACUUGCUUUGAUGUGCCUUUACGUGUUUGGAUUUGGUUGGUCAUGGGGGCCUUUAAGUUGGCUAAUUCUAAGUGAAAUAUUCCCAGUGAAAAUCAAAACGACGGGGCAAAGUAUAAGUGUAGCGGUAAAUUUGGAUGUUGCAUUCGUGCUUUCGUAUACAUUCUUGACCAUGCUAUGCCACUUCAAGUAUGGAGAAUUCUUGUUUAACGUGGGCUGGCUUGCUACAAUGACCAUUUUUGUCGGGAUUUUUGUGCCAGAGACAAAAGGGGUUUUGUUGAACUCAAUGCAUCAAGUGUGGGAACAACACUGGUUUUGGAGCAAGUUUGUCUAAAGACUUUGCCCUAAGGUUUCCUUUUAACGAGGAAAGUCUAAGCAUGUUAUAUAAUACAAGGUUUCUCCUUAUUUUGUAUGAACAUUAAUUCACAUUCAUAGGGUCUGCAUGCUAAUCACUAAUUUUGAAUGAAUAAGAUUUUAACUUUUUUUUUUAUCGGAAACCUGAAGGAAAAUUGUUCUCAUGGUCCUCAACCUUCAAAGUCGUUAGUACUUGACUUCUCUUUUAUGUUUACAAAAAAUAACCAAUAAUCCCAUAAUAAAAAGUUUAUGAAGAAGGUAUAAGACCAAUAUAUAUAUAUUAGAAAGGAAAAACCACACUAAAAAAGAGCAAUACUAUUUAUUUCCAGCCGGAUCAACCACAUAUCAUGUGGUUUUAACUGAUAAGACCAACUAAGUGAGUCUCGUAUCUACACAUUUAAUUGUUCUUAUCAUUUCACCUCACAUCACUGCCAAUUCAUAUGGGAUGUGUUAGGACCGCAUUUUAUUUGAAGUAAAUAAGAAAAUAAAGAAAUAUUUUAGGUGCGUCCGACAAACCUACACCUCUCAAAGAGGUCUACAUUUUCAAAUACUGAAUAACCAACAUUCAUUUUAUUAAUAACAUUGGGUUUAUAUAGAGAAUUACAUGAUAAUUUUCUAAAACAUAGGGAACAUUUUCUACUUAAAUUUAAAUAAUAGAUAAAAAAAAAAACCUAUUUUUGAAUUAUUCAAAAUAACAUAAAUAGAAGAAUCAAAACAAAAUACUAACUAAAAUAGAAAAAGGAUUUCGUAAUGGGAUGAUUCUAGCUGGGGACAAAUAAAGAUAAGUGGAAACAAUAAAAAUAGGGAGCCGCUAUUUCCACCACAAUUUUUACAAAUCUAUCCCACUCUAAGCUCAUCCUACCAAAAUUUAAAUUUUAUGAAAUGUAGUAUAUUCAUCCACGUUUAUUCCAACUUUAACCUUGUUUUAAAUCCAUUCAUUUAAACACUAUAUAUCCACAUUAAUUACUUUUAUAUAUCCAUCCCAUCUAUCCCUAUUAUAAUUUUAAAAUUUAACAAUGACUACAUUUAUCCCGAAUACUUCAACCUUGUUUUAAUCACUUUAAUAUCCGCAUUAAAAUGUAUUCUAUUCAUUUCUUUGUUCCUUCCCCACUUUUUUUUGCAAUAAAAAAAAUCCAAAUUGAAAAUUCAGAAUCCAUAAUUAAGUAAGUCCCAAUCAGAUUUUAGCAUAAGUUGUAAAAUAUAUAACAUGUGCCAUUUUUUACUGUCCUAGGGUCAACACUUGGCGAGCAUUUGAAGAAAAAAUUUGACGAUUACUGUUACGUGUUUGCACACUUGGGCAACCCACCGGGGCCCACAGCCAAUUCAUGCCGAAACAUGUGGCACUCAAGCCGAGGUGAUUUGCAUAGCCAAGACCCAUAAGUCGAGCUCCACAAAAGCCCCGACCCAUAUAUACUGGGGCCCAUCUAUCAUUGCUUCUUGAGGAGCUUCCAAAGCCCAUAUGUCGAGGCCCUUUGAAGGUGGACGAGGCCCUAUUGGCCAAAGCUUUGUAGUCGAAACACAAAGCAACAUCUUCCUUAGACACUUCUCCCAAGAGAUCCUCUGCACAAAGAUCUUACUAGAAUGAUUGAUAGAACAUUUGUCAUGAGUGUAAAUGUUAAGUCUUAUCAUUAGUAGAGGCGGCUCUGCCAAUCACUAAAUGUAUAGCAGGCUAGGUACGGCUGAUGCCUACAAUUUAACAUGUAAAUUAACCGGAUGAGGCCACGUGUACCCCGAACCAAAGGUCACGAUCUAACUUGUGACACUAUAAAUAUUCCCUCAUGUACCCCAUACAAAAGCCAAUGCAAAAAUCAAUACAAGAAACCAUACUUUACUCAACUCUCUCUUUCUUAUUACCUUGCAACACAAUACGAAUCUACUCAUAUUUACAUACACAUUUCCAAACAUCGAUUGGUAAUUAUUGUACAAUCGGUUAACGAACAUCCCGUCGAAUUCCAAACGUUCUCGUCCCGCACCGUUGAGCUAUUCACAUGCCCUUGAUCUGUCCGUUUUAGACUGUCCACGUGUCCUUAGCGUGUUAGACUUUCGCUCACGUGUGUGCGGGUAGGUCCGGCAUCUGUUGGCAACAUUUUCUGGGGUGAACAGAUUGGCGCCUUCUGUGGGAAGUUAUACCAUAACCACAAGCAACCUUGGGUGAAAGCUUAUUAAAGAGGAACAUUUGGGCGUCCCUCUUAAAAAAGGAUUUGUUCUUGAAAAAGAACAAGAGGAAGCCCCACGACUUAGCAAAAAUCUGAAGGGUAAGAUGCAAAGAAAAUGAGUUCAAACGAAGAUACACCCCCCAGGAGGGUAAGAGAAAAUGCUAAUGUGCCCCCUCAAGCAGCUGCCUCGGCAUAGACUCCACCACAACCAUAGAAGAGGUGGAAUGCGUGCGACGGCUCGGCUGUCAAGAGAAAUGACCGCCAUGGCAGCUAAUAUGAGGGACAUUGCUAGCCAACACAUGGCUAUGAGGGAACUUAUGGCCCAAAUGCUGGGCCAGAGAGGCAUCCCUAUUCCUCCAUACGCCCCUCAAGGGCACUACCAGCAAGAAGAUGAAGUUCAAAGCUGUAGGGCUACCUCGUCGGACUAUAGCCGAGGUAGAAGCCCAUUUGAAAGGGAAGUGGAAGUUGAUGUUUCCUCCAACUACGCCUCUGGCCGACCCACUGAGGUCCCUUUGAACCAUGAUAACUUCCCACCUUCGUAUGAGCAAGAGCAAAAAUAUAGGAGGUCAGGCAGUGUAUUUGACAGAAUUAGCCCCGUUGAACCGAGGCUCAGACAACAACAUCACGAGCCUUGGACAAGGCCACCGCCUCCACCUCCAAUGCCUCAACAACCGGAAGGAAGGCCUAAAAAUGUCCCCCAUGCUACUCCGCCUAGAAAUAAGUGCCAAAGGAGGGAGGAAGAGUUAGGAACAGUCCCGAAACAUCUCACCAACAACCAAGGUAUGAGGCUGAAGAAAACGAUUCUAAUGAGCAGCAGAGGUCCUGUGACUUGGACGAUGACGAUGAAAACCUGCCAUUCUCAAGGGAACUAAGGAGCGCCCAGGCCUUGAACCACUAUGUUAUGCCAAAGUAUGAUGGAAGAGGUGACCUAGAGAAGCACCUGAAUGCUUACAAAACUCACAUGAGCCUAAGGGGCGCCACCCCAGCUGUGAAAUGCAGAGCUUUCCACUUAACACUUAGCGGUGCAGCUGAAAUUUGGUAUAGUAGGUUACCACCUGGGAGCAUAAAAAGUUGGCCCGAAUUCAAGACGACCUUCUUGAAGAGGUUCGUUGUGAGCAAAGAGGGAGAGGCCCCCAUCCAACGUGUCCAAGACAUGAGGCAGACACAUGGAGAGUCCCUAAAAAGCAUCCUAUCACGUUUUACCAAUGAGAUGACAUAUUGUGUGCAAGUCACCAACCGUGAGGCGUUAUCUACAUUGAGAGAAGGUCUGAACAUGAACACCAUGUUCUGGAAGGACAUGCAAAAUCAAGAUCCCGCCACCUAUGAUGCCCUACUCGAGAUGAUGAGACGGGAGAUCAUCAAUAAAGAAUUGAUUGAGCAUAGGAACAGGGCAAAUAGAGGCCUUCCACCUCCUCAAAGGUAGCGUGCUAGAGGGUCGACCUCCACUUGAUGGACUACCAAAUGAACCAAGCUGGAAAUGAGAGUUCUAGGCAAGCACUUGCCACGGCCACUCUUAGCGUCGUUCCUACAUUAGCAUAUGAGGAUAUCAACCCAGUCACUAACACCCAGCAGAUGGGAACUCCGCAAGGACCCCGUAGGGGUAGAGGCUGAGGCCGGGGUUCGGGACCUAAAAAUAGGUCAAAUCAGAACCCACCUGGAUACUGUGCAUACCACCGGUCCUAUGGACACAACAUAGCAGAUUGCCAAGACUAUGCUCACCGCUCCCGGUAGGAACCCCCUAGGGACAGAAAUGAAUCACCCCAGGCAAACAGGCCCCCGCCUAGGUACGAUAACGACAUGGGCGUGAAGAGGCUGCUCCUCGUCAAAGGGAUGUUUCUCCGCGAUGAAGGGAGCGUGAUGCAGAGAGGCCCAGGGAAGGGCGCAAACACUGAAGAAAUCAACAAGCUCAGGAUGAGACCCCUAUCCACGAGGUGGAUACCAUUUUUGGAGGCCCAUAUGUAGGUGGUGAAAAGCGGAACGCUAAAAGGAAUUAUGCCCGUGAGGCCAAGCGCCUCCCGCUUACCAGCUAUAUUGUGGGCCACAGCUCUCGGAAGGAUUGAGUUCCACCUAUUGUCUUCACCCAAGAGGAUACUGAAGGAGUUCACUACCCCCACUACGAUGCACUUGUGGUAAGAGCAGUCAUAGCUUGGAAUGGGCUCAAACGAAAGUUAGUUGACAAUGGUAGCUCCAUCAACAUUCUAUUCGGAUCCACCUUGGACAAGAUGAUACUGGACCAUGAGUUAACAUCCACCACCACUCCUUUGUACGGAUUUACCAGAGAUAGCAUUACUCCGAGAGGAAAAAUCACACUCGUGGUAGAGAUGGGGGAGUCUCUCCAAACCACAAUGAACUUCAUGGAAUUCCUCGUUGUCGACAAUCGAUCGGCCUACCACAGAGUAUUGGGUAGGCCAACCCUAAAGAAAUUGGGAGCCGUCACCUCCAUCACCACCUAUACAUGAAAUUCCCAACGAAAAAUAGGGUGAAAACGGUGAGAGGUGAUCAAAGAGGCUCGAGAGAGUGUUAUCUAAGCUCCAUCAGAAAGGUAGAGCCCCAGGACGUCCAUGUGAUUAUCGCCGACAUAGUCAUGGUUGAUGUCCCAGGUGAUGCUCCUGCCGAACCGAAAGAUGUCAGAAUGAUUGACGCACCACCCAAUCCGGAAGUAUUGGUCAUCGAUGAGAUUGAUCCCCACAUAAUUGAACAAGAACCUCAAGCAUCGCCAAUUGAGAAACUUGAGAGCUUCUCGGUAGACCCCUGAAACCCAUCCAAAUUGUUGAAGGUGGGCAAGGGCUUGUCCAGCAAUUUGAAAGAAAAGCUUAAGGAUUUCCUAAGUAGAAACCUCGAUAUCUUUGCUUGGAGGCAUGAGGACAUGGUAGGCAUAGACCCCAAGGUCAGUUGCCACCACCUGAAAAUUGAUCCUAAGGUUGCCCUGCAUAGAUAAAAAAGGAGAGCCCUCAAUCCUGAGAGGUACGAGACCCUGAAGGAAGAAGUUCAGAAGCUCAUCCAAAAUGGCUUCAUCAGGGAGGACACCUAUCCGAGGUAGGUCUCCAAUCCAAUUUUAGUGAAGAAACACAAUGGCAAGUGGAGGGCGUGCAUCGAUUUCACUAACCUCAACUAAGCUUGCCCGAAGGACAGCUUUCCACUUCCAAUGAUUGACCAACUGGUAAACUCCACGGCUGUACACGAGUUAUUGAGCUUCAUGGACGCAUACUCCGGCUACAACCAAAUUUCCAUGCACCUGACCGAUGAGGAACACACAUCUUUCAUCACAGACCGAGGCCUUUACUGCUAGAAGAUGAUGCCCUUCGGGUUGAAAAACAUCGGAUCAACAUAUCAAAGGCUUGUCAACAAAAUAUUUGUGGACUUCAUCGGCAAGACAAUGGAGGUCUAUGUAGACGACAUGCUGGUAAAGAGUUUGAAAGCUAGGGACCACAUAACGCACCUCAACAGCACCUUCCAAAUCUUGAGAAGAUAUAGGAUGAGGCUCAACCCCCUCAAGUGCGCCUUCGGAGUGGCCUCGGGCAAAUUCUUAGAAUACAUGGUAAACUAACGCGGUAUCGAAGCCAACCCUGAAAAGAUUGAGGCCCUAUGCAAGAUGAGGUCCCUCCAAAAGCCAAAGAAGGUGCAAAGCUUGAUUGGGCGAGUGGCCGCGCUUAGCCGCUUCGUUUCCAAAGCUACAGACAAAUGCCUCCCAUUUUUCAAAGUGCUAAAAGCUGGGAAGAGGUUCCAAUAGAAUGAGGAAUGUGAAGAGGCCUUCCAGGGCCUGAAAAGGCACCUAGGGCACGCCCCCUCCUCUCCAAACUGAAGCCCGGUAAAAUUCUACAGCUGUAUCUAGCCGUCUCCAAUGAGGCCAUCAGUGCGGUUCUAAUCUGAGAAGAGGAGACCACCCAACUCCCUGUUUACCGUACAAGUAAAGCACUCCUAUCGCCGAAAACCCGCUACCUCGAUAUGGAGAAGCUCGCUUUGGCCCUGAUCACGGCCUCCAAGAAAUUGAGACCCUACUUCCAAGCCCACACCAUCCACGUGCUGACAAACUUUCCCCUAAGGCAAGUACUCCAAAAGCCCAAUGCCUCAGGAAGAUUAUUGAAAUGGGCGGUGGAGCUAAGUGAAUUUGGCCUCAUGUUCAAGGCUAGGGUAGCCAUCAAGGGCCAAGCCUUGGCUGACUUUGUGGCAUAAUUCGCCAACUUACCCGAGGUAGAUGAAAUCAUGGAACAAGCCAAGCCCCCUAUGUAAAAUUUAUUCGUUGAUGGGUCGGCUGGGGACAUCGGCUCAAGUGCCGGAGUUGUCCUCAUCAGCCCGGAAGGUCACAAGCUGAACUCGACGGUGAGAUUCGGAUUCAAGGCCACCAACAACGUAGCAGAAGACGAUGCAUUUCUUGCAGGCCUUAGGUUAGCUAGAGAAAUGCAAGUAAAAAGGCUACUCAUCAGUAGUGACUCCCAGCUAGUCGUUAGCCAGGUCAACGGUAACUUCUCAGCCAGGGACAAAAUAAUGGCCUCCUACUUGAAAAUGGUGAUGAACCUCAUCCCAUCCUUUGAAAAGUUUGAGUUAAUCUAGAUCCCUCGCAUCGAAAAUGCACAUGCGGAUGCAAUCUCCAAACUUGCAAGUAGCAAGGAUUCUGAACUACUCACGGUGGUCCCUAUAAAGCACCUCAUCAUGCCGUCAACCGAGGCCCCCAGUGUUAUGUGGGUCGCUAGGACUCCUACCUGGAUGCAGCCCAUCAUGGCAUACCUCAAGGACCAGGUACUUCCCACUAACAAGCGUGAGGCCUACAACCUAAAGAGGAGGUCAGCCCAUUUUCUCUUCAUUGAUGAUGUACUCUAUAAGAGGAGCUUCUCCUCUCCACUCUUACGAUGCGUCGGGGGAGAAGAGGCUACCUACAUAUUAAGAGAAGUCUAUGAAGGUGUGUACGGCAACCACUUUGGAGGUCUAUCUUUGGUACAAAAAAUACUGAGGCAAGGGUACUACUAGCCUACCUUGAAAAGAGACGCCCUCGAGUUUGUACAAAAAUGCGACAAAUGCCAACGAUUCUCUCCUGUCCAAAGACAACCAUCGCAAGAUUUGACCGCGAUCUCCAGCCUUUCUCGAAGUAGGGUGUGGACCUCAUAGAUCCUCUACCAAAAGGCAAAGGAGGUGCGAGCUUCGCCAUUGUGGCAUUUGAUUACUUCACGAAGUGGGUCGAAGCUAAACCCCUGGCAAAAAUUACAGAAGCCAACACUUCGAAGUUCUUGUGGAAGAAUAUCAUAUGUCAGUUCAGGAUUCCCCACUCGAUCAUCUUAGACAAUGGUAGAUAGUUCGACAACAAGAAGGUCAGAAGUUUGUGUGAAGAACUUGGCAUCAAGAAGUAUUUCUCCAUGCCUCACCACCCACAAGCGAAUGACCAGGUUGAGGAUGUGAACAAGACAAUCAAGCACGUCUUGAAAAGGAAGCUUGAUGUGUCAAACGGGACCUGGGUAGAUAAACUGCCACAGGUUCUUUAGGCAAUCCGAACCACUACGAGGACCCCAACAAGGGAAACACCUUUUCUCAUGGCAUAUGGGACAGAAGCGAUGAGUCCCGUUGAAGUCGGACUUCCAUCUCCACGAUGUCUGCAUUUCAGUAAGAUAACAAACGACGAGCUUCACAGGUGCGACCUCAACUUCAUUGAGGAAAGGAGAGAUGAGGCCCAACUAAAGCUCAACACAUAUCAAAGAAAGAUGACGAAGUACUUCAACUCAAAGGUAAAGAAGAGGUCAUUUCGUUCUUCAAUCAACAUUAAGUUCAAUUGCUUGACGAGGCCAAUGCACUUGGGAGAAAAACAUUGAAUGAAAGAAGAUAUUAUAUUGAUUUUCAUCAAGAUCACAAAAGGGAGGCCUAAGGCCAGUACAUCAGAAAUAAUUGAAAAGAAAACUAUCCUAAGCCUGGGACGAUGAUUGAGGUGCCUCAGCAGCCGGGGCCUCUGCAGCCUGAGCAUCAGAACUUCCUUCUUUUGCCUCUGCUACUUCAUCUCCAAUCGCUUCAUCAGCUGGGGUUUGAGGCACCUCAUCUAGUGAUGGCUCGGCUCAACCCUUUAACACACGAGCUCGGCUUGGGCUCGUGGCUCGUGAAAGAUGAGCCAAGCUAAAGCUCGGCUGGUUGCUCAGGGAUGAACUCGGCUCGACUCGACCCACGAGCUCACUGGCCGAGCCGAGCCCACGAACCGCUCUCAUGCUCGAUGAGCGGAGCAGGCUCGACUCGUGGGAUUGAGCCCCUGCUCUGCUCGGCCCGUUUGACAUCCCUAACCUCAUCCACAAACUCCGACCUCAGCUGUGAUAGGUCUUGAUUUGGGUAGAGUUCCUCAGCCCUCUCCAUCAUCUCGACAUAAGCAUAAUUUCUCCAGUAAAUACUGAAGCUCUUGUACUCCUCGAUAUUAUGGAAGUUGGCGAUGCAGUCUUUCACCGCCUUCUCCUUCGCCACAUUGGCCUCCUUCCUUGCCUUGGCCGCAUCAUCAACAUACCACUUUAUCUGGCCCUCCAAGAACUUGUACGCAUCUUGGGCCCUUGCUAGCUCCAAGUUUGCCUUUUCCAAGGCUUCGGCAGUCACCUUCUAGUGGUCAUUGGAAACCUCUACUUUCUUAGUCAAGGAGGCCACCUCGCACUGGGACUCAUACACCUUCUUCUUCAACGCCUUGAUCUGAGCCAAGGCAUACACCAGCUUGGCCCUAUCUUCAAGUUUUAGGGCCCUCGCUUCCUCUGCCUCGGCUAUAGCUCCCUUCAGCUCCUCUGCAAGGAAGGCCAUCUUCUUCUCCGAGGACUGGGUCCUCAUUUGAAAGUCAAUAAGGGCCUCCCUGCACUUCAAUGUGAGACUAAGGUCCUCACACUUUGGCCCACGAGGGCCCAUGUCAAGUCCAUGGUGUCACAUGAGGAGGCAUGCAACUACCAUCGAUUCGUCCAGAAUUUGUAGAAACUUUCUUGUAGCACUUUGGAUCUCAGGUGACAGAGCCUCCACCAAAGCUAGAGCUAGAACCUCCUCCCUUCCGGCAAGGAAGCUCGGAGACUUUCCUUGCACCCUCACAGACCUCUGCUUGGCGGCCUCGUCCUCUGUCACCUCAGCUGCCCUCCUUGCAGCCUCUUCCUUAGUCUCCUCAGCCUCGGCUCAUCGAACCAUUUCAAUCUUUACCACUUUCGAGGCGAUCGCGAGGAGCUUCGGCUGAGUCUCUUUGGCUUCAUGGGAGACGGAGGUCCCAAACUUUCCUGACGAGCUGGUGAUGUACACCAGCUUCCUUUUCUUGGCUCCUCGAGGACCUUCUCCUUCUCCCGAGGCUCUUUGGCUUUCUCCAGCCUCUGAGGUGUCCCCUCUUCGGAAGCCCUUGAACUGCUGUCCUUGGAAAGGUACUCAACCCUUCCCCGAACCUCUUUGGCACCAGUCGACCUCGGCUUUAGGGGCCUCGCCUUCAUAGUGGAUGUGGCCCUGAGUAUAGAGGCCAUGUCAGGGGCUGCGUAUUUCCUCCUCUUGAACUUGUCUGCAGAACAUGUCAAUGCAUCAGCAUCAAAACAAAAGAAAAGAAAUACACAAGUAUAGGAGCUUCUUAUCCUUGGAGGCCAUCAGUUCAAAAUCAAGAAAGUAGCGACUUAGGUCGAUGAGGUGGUCGAAGUGGCGAAGCUUGAGAGGUCUCUUAUAAAUAUCCUCUAUCACUUUGAACUCCUCCUUGCUCAACUCGAACCUCGUACUACUAUCUGCGAAGGAAGCCUCAACAAUUAGAAAAAGAAAUUUGAAUACAGAAUGCAAACUAUUUAGGCUGGGAGGCUCACGAGCUUCAUAGUACUAGAUCGGUACUAUGCAAGCCAGGGUUGUGUCUCCCUCCACCUUUUGCCACCUACCCCUCAUCCAGAACCACGACUCCUUCCACCCCUUAAUGGAAGAAGGCAGCCCCACUACAAAUGGUGUAUGAGCUCCUAAGGAGUUAAGUAAUACCACCCCCUUGACUCCUUACCUAGUAUCCUAGGCUGGAAUAGGGUCAUAAAUACGUGGAGAGGCAUGUCCUCCCCAAGUGACACUUCCUUCUAUAGAAAGUAUGAGCCAACCAACUGGCUCCACCCAUUUGGCAGAACCUAGGUCGGUGACAACAUAAAGUUCCUCAGCACCGCCCUAGAGAAGGGGUGCAGAGGAAGACGCAUACCUGCCUUAAACAGGUACUCGCUCACCGCUAUGCACCCAAGCCUCUGAUAGCAGGCUCGCUCAUGGGCCUCGAGUACUAACAUCUCUACAUAAUGAGGUACACAGUACCUCUCCCUAAUCUCUCCCAGCCUCUUCCCUAUCAUAUUCGAAGGGACUCUAGACGUCUUCCACUUUACACCGUAGUCUAUUGUCUUCUUGGUCAUAGCAUACUGCUCAACCUCGGAGUCCCCUUGUAACUAGCCCCCUGACCGAAUGACGUGACAGUGACCAACUCCCUACCCGAGGUGGACUCCAUUUCAGAAAAGGACUAAGAACGCAAUACAAGGGAUUUUCUGUGAAAAUACUUAUGGGAAUAACUAUGCCAACGAAAUGCUGCCGGAAAACCAGGGAACAAACAGCUUCAACGUCGGAAAACUUAAGCUUUGGAAGAAAAAUCAGAUUGCAAGAGGUAGAAAAUCCAGUAAAAUGGGGGUCUCUCGCCUUUUAUAAGGGGCCAGGACGAAUCCCAACCGUCUGAUCAAAGCCCAUCCAAUCUGGACCCUUCAUUCUAAAUUAAAUCUGAGGUGUAGUAUUCAAACGAUUUUUCAAACCGACGCCUCAGAUUAAAGCAUGUCUCCCACGUACCUCUCCCAACACUUCUGCUUCUAGAAGUUCCAGCUGUUCUCAUGAUUAUGACUUUAAUUCGAUGGCAGCAGGCGCCUUGGAAGUUGUAACGGUUCUGCCACUUUUCCUCAAAAAUAUGCACAAAACAUCAAAUCAUUGGCACAACUGUCGAGGAACAAUUAUUGUCAAUGUGCCUCAGACUUCAACUAUCAAGCCUCGCAGGUUUAGUUACCCAACCACCUCGGCUUCCUCUUCAUCAUUCAGCUAUCAAGCCUCGCAGGUUCGGUUUCCCAACCACCUCGGCUUCUUCUUCAUCAUUUAGCUAUCAAGCCUCGCAGGUUCGAUUUCCCAACCACCUCGGCUUCCUCCUCAUCAUCAGCCAUCAAGCCUCGCAAGUUCGGUUUCCCAACCACCUUGGCUUCCUCCUCAUUAUUUAGCCAUUAGGCCUCGUAGGUUCAAUUUUCCAACCACCUCGACUUCCUCCUCAUCAUUCAGCCAUCAAGCCUCGCAUGUUCGAUUUUCCUACCACUUCGGCUUCCUCUUCAUCAUUCAGCUAUCAAGCAUCACAGGUUCGAUUUUCUAACCACCUCGGAUUCCUCCUCAUCAUUCAGCCAUCAAGCCUCACAGGUUCAGUUUUCCCAACCACCUCGACUUCCUCCUCAUCAUUCAGCCAACAAGCCUCACAAGUUCAGUUUCCUAACCAUCUCGGCUUCCUCUUCAUCAUUCAGCUAUCAAGCCUCGCAAGUUCGAUUUCCCAACCACCUCGGCUUCCUCCUCAUCAUUCAGCCAUCAAGCUUCGGAGGUUCAGUUUCCCAACCACCUCGGCUUCAUCACAUUUCAGCCAUAGUAAGCACCCAGGUUCGGUUUCUCAACCACCCCGGCUUCAUCAUUCUCAUCACUCCUUGACAACAGCACAUCUCUAACUCCAACCAUGAUAUAAAUAUCUAUACUUGGACUUAGGGACUAUUAUUUCGGGUACAAAAAAUUUCAAAAGUUUCUUUCGAUUUAACCAAUUGACUUUACUUCACCGAAGUCCUCGCAUUACAUAAAUGACUAUACUCAGACUUGGGAAACUAUUGUUACAUGUUUGCACACUUGGGCAACCCAUCGGGGCUCACAACCAACUCAUAUCGAACCACGUGACACUCAAGUAGAGGUGAUUUGCAUAGCCGAGCUCCACAGAAGCCCCGACCCAUAUAUACCGAGGCCCAUCUAUCAUUGCCUCUUGAGGAGCUUUCGAAACCCAUAUGCCGAGGCCCUUUAAAGGUAGACGAGGCCCUAUUGGCCGAAGCUCUGUAGCCGAAGCACAAAGCAGCAUCUUUCAUAGACAUUUCUCCCAAGUUGUCCUCAUACAAAGAUCUUACUAGAAUGAUUGAUAGGAUGUUUGUCAUGAGUGUAAAUGUUAAGUCUUGUCACUAGCAGAGGCGGCUCUGCCAAUCACGAAAUGUAUAGCAGGCUAGGUGCGGCUGAUGUCUACAAUUUGACAUGUAAAUUAACUGGAUGAGGCCAUGUGUACUCCGAACCAAAGGUCACGAUCUAACUUGUGACACUAUAAAUACUCUCACAUGUACCCCAUACAAAGGCUAAUACAAAAAUCAAUACAAGAAACCAUACUUUACUCAACUCUUUCUUUCUUAUUACCUUGCAGUACAAUACGAAUCCACGCAUAUUCACAUACACAUUUCCAAAUAUCGAUUGGUAAUUAUUGUACAAUCGGUUAACUAACAUCCCGUCGGAUUCCGAACGUUCUCGUCCCACGCCGUUGAGCUACUCUCACACCCUUGAUCUAUCCGUUUUAGACCGUCCACGUAUCCUUAGCAUGUUGGACUUUCGCUCAUGUGUGUGCGGGUGGAUCCGGCAUUAGUUGGCAACAUUUUCUGGGGUCAACAAUUACAAUCAGAUCUUAGCAAUUUGGGUAUCUGACUUUUGAAGAAUCCAUACGAUUUAGAAUUGGUAUCUGACAAAGUGUUUUGAUAUUCAACUCUUUGGCUUUUGGGGGCAAAUUGAAGAGUUCGAUUUAGAUUUAAUGGCCACACAUAUAAGAGUAAGAGGUUUAAAAGAACAUGAAGUUUCCUUUGGGAUGGAUUGUUACCCCCUAGCAAUUGUUUCACAUUGAUUUUGGGUUUGAUUUGGGUUGGAGUGGAGUAGUGAGGUGGGGGUGGGGAUGCAAUUUUCUCUCUUUUUCAUUUUUCUUUUACAUUUAAUUAUUUUUAUCUAGUUAUUUGAAUAAAAUAUAAAUUUAUCAUUAUACCUCUUAAAAUUGAUCAAAACAUGGUUAAAGUCAAUUUUUCUAAUAAACUAAUGAUCACGGAAUCCAUCCAUUUGUCCUUUCCUUGUAACGAAAAAAAUAAUAUGUUUGGAACUGUGAGUGGCACAAAUAAAAAAUUUGGAUAAAGUCUACAGAGAAAAGAAAGGUUUGUGAUGCAACUAGAAUUAUUCCUAAUUAUUAGCAGAUGAAUUUAAAGUAUAUUUAAUAUUAAUUUUGUCUAUUUAAGUAAAUUUAGGUAAGUUUAAAAAUGUAAUAUAUAAACUUCUUAAAAAGUGGAUGAAUAAAUAGAAAGCAAAAAGCUGUUGGUCCAGAUUUGGAGAUCAACUCAAAUCUAGGGCUGAGGUAGUGACACAUCAGCCCUUGAUUUGAAUUCUAUGGAUUGAAAUCAUGGGCCGAGGUGCCCUGGUUUUAAAUCUGUCCCUGGACAAUUAGCAAGCCUCAUAUAUAAAUUGUGGAUGGAAAUAGCUGUUCCCAAAAAAUACCAUCCUCGAACAUCUACUUAUACAGCCACCCUCCUUACCCAGCAUCUAGCCCCUCCCAACUUCAAAGCCCCUCUUCCUUACUUAUUAGGACACCGAGAAGGAGAUGGAGAUCGGUGAAUGGACCGAGGAGAAACUUCUUUUACAAUUAAUUGGACAAUGGGAAUUUUCACACUGAUUGAGAUUUGUGUUAAAUUAAAUUAUAGGAAUACUGAAAAAUCUUAUUUUACCAAAAGUAGAAAUAUACAAGUAAAUUAAUUACUGAUAGCCUCAAACUCUGGUAUAAAAGAUGAUUUUCACUCAGUUUACUAUUAAACAAGAAAGCCAAUAAAUAGGUUUCAAAGUUCGAUUUCAUAUUUUAGUUAAAUCUAGGAUAAUUUGAUCUUUGUACGAUGUACCUUUGGUUUCAUAGAAUGUACAUGAAUAAAUAGCUAGCUAAUAUAAACUUCACUUAAUUUAUUGUUUUCUUGAAAUGUAUUUAGAAUUAUGAAUUAAAUCAAUGCAAGAAUACAAGUGAUUAUCUUUGUGAGACUCGAAUGCUUCCAGAAUUUUGAUAUUGAAAGGAUGGUGAAACGUGGCUUAACAUGGGCUGUUGGAUUGACUCUGGAACCUUCUACUAUUGGUGUCGUUUCACCUGGCACCCCAUUCCUACCUCUUAACGCGUCUGACUCUUGGUUUUUGCGAGAGAAAAAUCCUCUCGUUUGGCUAGGGUUUUAUUUGUAUGAUUCUUUGGAUUUGAGAUUUGAGGCCUGAAACUUGUAAAUCUUAGGGAUUUAGUUAGACAUUCUGAGUGAUUUUUUGUUAGAACCCUAUAUUUUCUUGAGUCGUGAAGUUUUGAUUUGUGAUUCUUCGAAGGUGUUGGGUCGAUCUUAAGAGAUAAGUGAUCUAGAUCUAUCUCUUUGUAUUUGUUAAACAUUUGUAAUCCUUCGUUGCCAUUUUGGGCGAUUAUAGUGCAAUCGAGCGUAAUCAAACUUGUUGAAUGCUCAAUGGGGGAUGUAGGCAUUUGAAGCGGUCACUGAACUUCCAAGGUUUAGGUCGAAAGAAAUCUUGUGUUCAAUUUUUAGUUUUCUGCACUAUCUACUUUCUGCCAUUUAAAUAUUUUACUUCUCAGUUUUAAUAUUGUGUGAACCUUUGCCCUACAGUGGUAUCAGAGCCACAAUGAGGAACGCGAUACCUGGAUCUUGGAGAGUUUGGUUGAUCUUCGUCAGAUCUGGAAUUUUUUGGAACUGUUGAAAAGUAGAUUUGAACCAAUUCGAGUUAUUGAACUCGCUUGGUAAGAUCCUUUCAAUUUACUGUAUAUUUCUUUUUAGAAAUUUGUGUUUCUUGAACUUUUCCUUGAUUUUUUCAGUACACCGUUGAAACCCCAUUAAGACUAAUCUUUGUCCAGUGGCUCCUGCAAGGUCCCUGGAAUCUGAGAUAAAUCAAGUGCAGGUGUGUACUUUGGAGAAUCUUGCUAGAGGGAUUUGUGAAACCUUGUAUUUAAUCUCAGUGAUUGCUAUCCAUUGAUUGAUCCUGCCUGUUCUCUGUAGAUAUUUUAAGAAUUGUGAUAUCUUGUAUCACAUUGUGUUCUACUAUGAUUUCAAAUUGGUACUUUUUGACUCCCUACUUAAACUACUUUGAGUUCUUGUUAACCUCUGUGUCAUAAAUUGUCUGCAUCAUGGCCACUGCUAAAUUUGAAGUUAGUCAAUUUGAUGGUAAAAUUGAUUUUGAUAUGUGGAGUUAGAAAAUGAAAGCUAUCUUGAUGCAAAUGAAAUUUGCUAAGCCAUUAAAUGAUUCAUGGCCUAAGGAUUUAGCACCUGCUAAGAAAUAUGAACUUGAAGAAAUUGCUUGGAGUACUAUAUUUUUGUGUCUGUCUGAUAAUUUGAUUAGAGAAGCAAGUGAAACCACUACUACCUCUGAUCCUUGGGUAAAACUUAAGGAAAAAUAUGAGACCAAAACCACUCUAAAUAGGUGUUUUCUUUUAAAACAAUUCUUUUCUUUUAAUAUGGAUCAUGCAGUUGACUUAGAAGAAAACUUAACUAGGUAUACAAAACUUACCCAAGACUUGGCCAAUUAUAUGAUUCUUUGGCUCAAAUCUUUGAUUUGAGGCCUGAAACUUGUAAAUCUGAGUGAUUUAGUUAGAUAUUCUGAGUGAUUAUCCGUUAGAACCCUAUAUUCUCUUGAGUCAUGAAGUUUUGAGUGUUGUACAUUGAAUAUUCUUUGUGAUUCUUCGAAGGUGUUGAGUCAAUCUUGAGAGAUAGUGAUCUAGCUCUAUCUCUUUGUAUUUGCUAAACAUUUGUAAUCCUUCGUUGACAUUUUUGGGCUAUUAUAGUGCAACCGAGCGUAAUCCAACUUGUUGGAUGCUUAACGGGGAUGUAGGCAUUUGAAGGGGUUCUCGAACCUCCGGGGGUUAGGCCGAAAGAAAUCUUGUGUUGAAUCUUUAGUUUUCUGCCAUUUAAAUCCUUUGCUUCUCGAUUUUAAUAUUGUAUGAAUCUUUGCCCUACAAUCUUUAUUGCGUAAUAAUAAUAUUUGUUGAGUUCUUUUCAUUUUGUCCUUUCCCCAAGUUGAGAUUUUUCUUGUACAAGGAAUUUACAACUAGCAUAAGAAGAUAUCGUUUGAUAGAUUGGCAAUGGUCCUUUAAUGCUCAAAUUAGAAAUAAAGUAAAAGUGCUUUGCCGACAAAGUUACAUGAUUCUCUUAUCCUAAUUUCAAAUCCAUGAGUUGGAUAUGCUAUGCAAUAAACAAGGGAACUAGCAGAACGACUUCUUAUUUUGACUAAACAUUAUGGAUGAUUUGACAAUUUUAAUGGAGUAACUCUAAGGAUAUGAAAAACAAGAUAGGAAUUUUUCAAAAUAAUAUUAGAACAAUUUGAAGAUAUGGAAAGAACAAAGAAAGAAUCAAAUCUUGACAUGUCUUUUUGGAAAAUUCCUCAAUUUCAGACCAUACACGAAAUGUGAAUAGUAUGCUUUCGGAAGAAGAAAUCAAGAAUUUCUGAAAUAUCUUACAAAAUUUCGUUCUUUUUUUCUCAAUGGUUGAUUAGAACUUCAUCUUAGUUCAAAUCCUAUUGAGAAAUCCACUAAAUAUAAAAAAUUGUUAAUAUUGUUUAAGUCAUAUAUAUCUAGAGAUUCAUAUAUAUACAAUCCUAUUAUAUGUGUUGGAUGGAAAAAGUUCACAUAUAUCUCAAGGUUUUGAGUUCAUACUGAAAGUUACCAGUUCAACCCUAAUAUUACCUAGAGAAGGGUAAAUAGAUGAAUGAUAUGGAAUUAAAAUAAUCAAUUAAAAGUAGUAAGUCACUUUUUAAUUAUUCUUAGAUGGCAAAUCAAGCAAGUCCAAUUAUCCAACGUUUGAAAGCCGCAACAAUAAUUAACGCAAUAAAGAAAACAACAAUUGUUGAUUGAGAAACCCAAUUGGGUAAAAACUUCGGGAUCAAGCCGGUAACCUCUAUUAUAAACAAUAAUGAACUUAUAAUACGAUCCAACCUAAAAAUUCCACUAGAAUCGCUGAUCUAUUUCCUGUAAUCUCCAAGACCCGCUGGAACGUGCUUCACUCACACUUAUUCUCGAUCUUUUGGAAUUGUCUAUUUCCCGUGGAUCACCAUGAACACCUUGUUCUUGUACACUUUUUGUGCUUCUGGUUCAACCUCUCUCAAUUCUUCAGCAACCUCUGAAAGUUCUUGAGAAAGUACCUUUCUUUAUGUAUGAAGGAUGUAAGUGUCUUGGAUUCUAGAAUUUGGUGUUUUUCCCAAAGUGUGGUUGUAUGCACUCAAUAAUCAAUGAAUGAAUUAAAGACUAAAACGUGUUCUUGGAUAUUUGAAGGAUGAUAUUUAGGAGAAUUAUAAUGAAUAACCGUACAAAAUUUCGUGUUAGGGGUUUGGUAUAUAUAUAUAUAGUAGAAUGUAAUUAGAUAGUAUGGCACAGAUAAAACUCUAGAAAAGUACGACAGAGUUUCUGUUUUUGCCGUUUGAGCAUCAUAUGGGCCAUAGGCUAGAGAAAAUCCGACCGCUCUUUUUCCUCCUUGUUCCAAACUCGAAUCUUAACUUACUUAAUUCAUCUAUACAACAUUGCAACGUACUCCUUAAAUUUUACAACUUUUUAUUUUAGUCCUUUCUAUCUAAAGAAUUACCAAUACAAUAAAAACCUAACACAUACGUGUUGAAAGUUGAAACAUCAUAUCUCUAAUUUGGUUAACAAUUUUUGUUUUAUAUGUUUGAAACUCUUAUACUCCUUUGUGUGCCGUAACAUUAAAGAUGAAUAAAGCUUUAUACGCAUAUAUUUUACCCUAAUCUCUAUAUAGAAACCUAAAACUAUUGCAUCCAACCACCAACCAACCAUGACUUUCAAGUUUCAACUGCCACAUACCGCUAAGGUACGCACUCAUUUAGGGAAGUAGGACCCCAUAUUUAUUUUAUAAAUGCUACAUGUAAAAUAAGUUGUACAGCAACUUAUUUAGCCCUCUCACACGUAGAGGGUGGGGCACGCGAUUAAAAUAAUCGUGGAUACCACACAUAUGAGAGGGCUGUAAUUUUUGCAGUCCUUAAAUGAUUUACAACUAUCUUUUUCCUAUUUAUUUACUUCAAAUCAAGACCAUAUUUCAUUCUAAUCGUGACCCUUUCAAUAAAUGAAUUUAUUUCACCUAAAAUUUUGGUCUUGUCUACGCAAAGCUAGUUAGAUAACUUAAAAAUUGCACAAUGAUUAAUUAUUCAAAUGCAUAUAUUUUAAAAUGUUAAGUUAAAAAUGUUAGUAUUAUUCACGAGUACUGUGUUUUACUAGUAUGUACUCAAUCGUCGUUACAGAUCGUGAAGACAUUGUAUUUUUAAAUAAGAUUAUAUGAUAAAGCGUGUAUUGAAAUUUUGUAGCUGUCCAAUUCAUUUCAACUCAUUAAGGGCCUGUCUGUCAAGACAUUUGAAAGUCAAAAAUUGUUUGUGAUAUAUGAUAUAUUUCUCAUGAAACUCUUUCCUAAUAAAUAGAUGCAGAAGCACUACCAAAUGAACCCUAAAUAUACUUAUAGUUUCAGUCUCUUGUUGAAGCUAAUGUAAAAUCUAAGACGAGGAAACGAAAUAUAUAAUUAAAUUGCAAGGUGGAUGGUCCCUCCUUUAGUAUUCUUGCACUUGUUAUUUGUUAAACAAGGUAUUGGCAAAGUAAAUUCAGAAUACAUAAACAGAUUAAUAUAUUUUAUUGAUGACAACUUGAGAAAAGUAAUUAAUUGUUACUAGUAAUUUGAAUACUUCAAUACCAUUUUCCUUUUACUCUUUAACAUAUAUUGCAUGAAAAUUAUUUGUUAUCUUAAAUGUAACAUGCUGCAUGGAAGUAGACAAAUGAGUUUAUUUAUGUAUACAGAGUGUUAGUCCACAAAUUUUGAAAAAGAACAUUUUGGCCCCCACACACUCUUUGGAUCAACCCAUGAAUUAUCUAGUAAUAGGUCUUUCACAAUGAGAUCCACCUACAAUAAUGGUAUAUUCCAUUAUUAUUACACAAUUAAUAUUAUAGUAGACCAAAACCGUGCCAAACCCUUAGUGGCUCUGUCACCGUAUUUUCAUUAAACAAAUUAACUUUUUAGCAAGGUUGUAAGGAUUGUAAUUUUGGAUUUAAUCUCUAUAAGAGUCUUACGAAUUCAACGAGUUCAUCGAAUCCUCUAUAUGUGUGUGUAUGUGUGUGUAAACGUCAAAUAUUAAUGAUUUAACGAGGACAACUAACUAAAAUCAAAUUAUACAAGGUUGCAGCUAAAUAUUAUAUGAAUAUCCACAAUUGAAAAUCUAAGCGAUCAGGGUGACAUGCAAAUUUCAUCUAGUAUUGAACCAAAACUGAAGUCUAAGUAUACUUCCAUUUUAUUUUUAAAUUGAAUUUUUAACAACAAUUAAAACUACUCAUGAACACCAAUGAUCAUGAAUAGUUGCACAAAUUACAAACUCAUAAAUUUCAUGAACAAUUACAAAAUUAUGAGCCCAAAAAAUCAGCCUACUUCUACAAGGCCAGUUAAAUAUUCAACUCAAAAGAAGGAAAAAGCAGAAUACAUAUCGAUUUGAAAACAAGAUGCAAAUGAGCUAUAAUAGAAGUCAUCGAAGAAAAGGUAGAAUGAUCAAAAGAGUUCAAAAAUAUCAUGAACGAAGGAAUGGCUGCCAUCGAUUUUCACUGGAGACCGAGAAUAAAAUAUAACACAUUUCAUCCCCUAUAAAGAAAUUUUUUAAGAAAUUUUUUUUUCUUUCGUACAAAAAGGGAGGAAUAUUGUUCUGACCACGGGAUCGCGAAUUCAUAAUUUUAAAAUCUUACAAUAGGAUCAAAUCGCUUUAUCAUUUUAGGAUCAUAAAAUUGUAAGAUCCAGAUCGAGAGUUUAACCACCAUGCUUUUUAAUAGGACGAUUUUCAUCUAGUGCAAAACUACUUGUGUGACAACCAUAGGUUGGGGACUAAUAAUGCAAUUAUACAGUGGGUUGUAUAAAUGAAGGAGAGAGGAGGUGGGCGUAUUGGAGUCAUUACAGAAAAGAAACCAGUGAAGAUGAUAGUGACAAAGAAAGAUAUUUGUAGAAAACAAGGCCGUUUUAAUGCUUCAUUCUUCAAUUCUACAUUUAGGUUCAAUUAAUGAAGGCAGGUAGACUUGCUAAAUUAAACCCCCCCCUCCCCAUCCCACUCCACCCAACUCCUUCACUCUUUUUGUGUAAACAUGUUUUUGUGCAUGGAUAUUAUUGGGAAUUUAUUUAAAUAUGUGCAGCGAAAAUAAAACAAUUUCAAUUUCCAUCAGAAUUCAUCUUUGUAUUUAGAUAAAAAUUGUGAUAAAAAUUAUACAUUUUCUUAGAUCUGUAAACUCCUUUGCAUUAUUUUUGUUCCAACAACCUGGAUCUGUCUUUCAUAGCUAUCCAAUUGUCCAACCUCCAAUAAAUUUCACAUAGAGAACAGAUUAUAGUCACCAGGAUUUUCUCCUCUUGUAUUAGCAAGAAUUAUGAGAUUCUAUACAGACUGAAAAUUCUAGUCAUGUAUUUAUAUAAGCUCAAACGGGUUUGAUCUGGUCUAGUCCAAUAUUUAGUUAAUCUAUUUAUUUAAAUCCGGUCCGUGAAUUAAAAUUAAUUAAUUCGGGCCUAUAAAUAAUCAACUCAAUUAAUUAAUUAAUUUAUCCAACAAUUGUUAAAUUAAUUAAUCGACAAAUUGCAAUAUUCCAAUUAUCUUUUUUGUGCGACCCAUUGGUUCCCUACCACAAUGCCAAACGAUGUGAAAUAUUAUUUUGAUCUAAUCAAAAUUGAUAAAUUAAAACACCAUUUUAAUUUAUCACCAAUUCACACUCGCCGUCCCAGAUUGACAUCUAACAAUGUAUCAGGGCAACACAUUUGAUGGGAUAUGUCACGUGGUAUGACAAAACCAAACUUGUUCACUUACCAUGAAACUAUAAUCCCUUCGUCAAUAUAAUCCGAUCAAUUACGAGAUAUGGAAGUGUGUCAAUCUCGAUUAUCGAUCAUAUCUUUCAUUCUACUAUUAAGUCAACAUGAGUCCAAAACUCAUUUUCGCCUUAUGAGUAUACCUUAACCAAGAAUUUCGUUAUUGACUUAAUUAAACGAAAUUCAGAUCACAAUCUCUUACUAUCUAAGAGUGACGAAUUCUCUAUUGGUCAUUCACAAUCUUCAUAUGGUUCUUGACAUACCCGAACGAUGCCGUAUUAGCGGCCCAUGGUAGAGCAACAUCUAACACCGUCAAAACAUGACUAUUCUCAUACAAGGCACUAUGAUGACCUCAAGCCAUAUGACCAAUUCCACUAUCAAACAUUAGAGAUUAACUACUGACACUCAGAUAGUUAUCCAUGUGGAAUCUCUUAGCGGGUCCCCAAUGUUUCGUUCUAUAACAAAACAUCCACGUGUUCAUUUAAGUGUCACCACAUUUUAGCUCGUGAAGUCAGCUACUUACUUCACAAGUAAGAAAUUCCACACGUGAUGGUUUAUCCGUAACAAUGAUGUCCGCAUCUCGUUAUUACUUACGACCAUGGAUUAUUCAAGAUCCAAUCAUAUGUAAUUUGUAUCUCACAAUCACAACUUCUUGUGAUUAACAAAUCACUUAAACUUGAAUCUUCGGACUCUAUUAUUUAAUAUUAUUUAUCGAAAAUAUUAAUUUAAAUAAAUAAUAGAUCUUACCAAAUAUAAAUGCAUUAAACAUAUUGGAAGUGUUUAUAACCUUAAUCGAUUGGAUCAAGGGCAUAACACUUACACAUACAUGCGUCAUUUCUGGGUUUCAAUAUUCCUUUUCUUAGGUAUUCAAUAAAAUUGAAUAAUACAAAAUUUUUUUCCAUUUUUAAUAUCUGUUGAUAAAAGUAUCUCCAUUCUUAACUUUUAUUUUUGAUCUUGAAAUCAUUAUGAAAUAGAAAAUGAGAGGGAAAAAAAUGAAAACUUAUAGUAAAAAUGUGUGUGUGUGCGUGUGUCUAUGAAACAUUUUUUGAAAGUUUGUAAUCUGUUUUUAAAAUGAAACUUUUUUAAUUAAAUCAUCUUGAAAGUUUAAAAUACAUAAAACUAUUGAUAAAUUAUUAUUUUUUGAUUGAUGAAUAGUUGUUUUGAGGGCUGAUCCACGCUCCUGAGUGGAAUCUCACCAACUGUUCUUGACUAGACUCUUUUGAAAUUUGCAUUAACACCCACCAUACCCAAUGCGUGAUGCAUCGAUUUCUACAAUAAUGGAGGCUAAAUAGUCUAUUAUGGAAAUAAAUGGGAUACUUUUGACAGCAUCUUUAACUUUUCAUAUUGCUAAAGUAUGCUCGUGACUCCAUGGUGAAUGAUGCUUUUGUAGCCUUUGAAAAAGUGGAGCGCACAAUAACCUUAUGUUUUAGUUGCCCAAUGAAACCUUGAGAUAUAUUUGCUAUGGCGUCUACAGUCAUUCCCGUGGCGAUAUAAACAGCAUGACAAACAACCAUAUUUUUAAGGAAAUUGACAAUUUGAUAUUCUAUCAUACCAUCAAGUUUCCAUUCAAUGAGUCCAUCACCAUUACAAGAAAAAUUGAGGUUUCUUCUUUUCCUCAUAUAACAUAUUAGGAUGAGGGGAGCAAGAAUAAAAAUUUGGAAGUUUGGAAUUUUGUCCUCUCAAUUUAUUGAUAGAAGGUUCUUCAUUUUCAAUAAAUUGAGCUUCGAGUUCAUCUAAAACAUCAAUUGUAUUAAUGUUUUUGGAUUAUCCUAAUAUUGAAAUUUGUUUUGCAAGUUCUUGUAAAAUACUAGAUUCUUCAGACCAAAUCUCUUUACCCAAUUUUGAAGUAAAAUUUGAAUUGAUUGGUUUGAAAACUAGAGGUUGUUUCUCAUCUUUUUUGGAGAGGAAACCUCAGAAUCAAAGUUGGCUUCAAUUCUAGACAAUUGAGAACACACAGAUUGAAGACCAAUAUAGUAUAAUUGUCUUGAGAUUGAAUAUUUUUUAUAUCCAUGGUUGUAGUGCCUCUUCCGGUCUAUCAACAUAAAGUUAUUUGCUAAAAGAUACAAUAAUUUCAGUGUUUACAGGAGAAACAACGAUUCUUAUAUUGGAGGAUGUUUAGAUUGAAAAUUUUGACCAGAUGGAGUUUUCCAUGUUUUUUUGUUAACAUGGGUAUUACAAGAAUAUGCAUAUCUAUGCAAAGAAUAUGCGUAAUUAUGCAUUUUUUAAAUUUUAAUAUUAUUUUAAAUAUUCUAAACUAAUAAAUAAAUAACAAAAAUAUAAUGAUCAAAUUCAUAAAUACUACAAUUACUUGGUAAUCAAUUCAUACAAUUAGAUUAAACACGAACAUCAAUUUUAAGAAAACACUAAAUAUUGUCUAACUUUUUGUCGUAUUCCAUUUCAAAUUCUUCUUCAUCCAAGUUAUCUUUUGCUCCGAUGUAAAAUCAUCUUAAUUGGGCUUUCUUAUUUUAACUCGAGAAUUUCUAUUACCUCUUGUAGAUUGUACAAUAUCAUUAGUAAUCUCCUUCUCAUCAUCACAACUAUCAACAAUCCAAGAUUGUUCUUAACUAGCAUCACUUGCUAUUAAAACUAGAGAAAGAAAGAAGACGGAGGAGGCUUGAACUCGACGUAGAUACUUUGCAACUCCAAGAAAAAAUUGUUUUAAUUUUUGAUUUUUUUUUAAAAUGUUAAAUCCCUACGUAUUACUAUAUAUAAUUCAUAGAUUUGAGCGAUUUGGAUUAAUUAGAUAACUUUUGGUUUGAUUUACUUUUUUAAAAUGAUAAAAUUAGGUUGGACUUUGCUAGGCUAUUUUUGACACAUUUUUAAUACAAAUGCAUGUGCAUUUUCACAAUAUAGGAUGGAUUGCUUGCAUUAUCAUGCGCACAUCCCAUAUACGAGGUGUUUCGCAAAUGCAUCGAGUAAAUGCGAAUUUAUAUGAAACAUAUACAUGCAUUUUAUAAUGCUGAUAUAACAUAAAUUUGAUAGCCAAAGCAUCUUGACAUUAUUAAAUUUUUUAUAAUUUUGUAAAAAAAUAAUAAUUUUGUUAUAAAAGUGAAGAAAAGGGAAGAGAACAGAGAAAAACUAAUAGACUUGUGUGUGUUUUAUUAAGAAUCAAAGCCCCAUAUUUAUAGGACAGAAUCAAAGAUACGACAGUAAUAAUUUCUAGGGUUGCAGGGGUAUAAUUGUCAUUCACCUCUAAACCCUAAUAAACUUACCUUUUACAACACUCCCUCUUGAAUGACAUAUUAUAAAAUAUGUCUCGUUAAAACCUUGUUUGAUAAAAAUCCAAUGAAAAAAAUCAAAUGAAGAAAAAAGAGUACAGUGAUUUUGGAGUACUAAAAAUAAAUGUUGCCUCAUUAAAUCCUUGCUAGGAAAACUCAGUGGAACAAAACCUAAGCGAAGGAAAAAGAGUAUAGCUACUCCCUCUGAUGUUGAUCACUGAAGAUGUUUGAGUCGAUGCAUUCCAAUUUUAUGAACUAAUUUCUCGAAUGUAAAUGUUGGCAGUGUUUUUGUGAAUAAAUCGGCCACAUUGCCACUUGAGAGAAUUUGUUGGAUGUCAAUGUCGCCAUUCUUCUGAAACUCAUGCGUAUGAUAGAAUUUUGGAGAAAUAUGCUUUGUCCUAUCACCUUUGAUAUAGCCUCCUUUGAGUUGUGUAAUACAAAUUGCAAUGUCUUCAUACAAAAUUGUUAGCUAUCCUUUGUUGGAGUUAACCCACAUGAUACUUGGAUAUGAUGGGUCAUGUCCUCAACCAUACACAUUAUUGGCUUCCUUCAUGGAUUACAAUAAUUUCAGAUUGAUUUGAAAAUGUUGCUAUCAAGAAUUGCUUCAUGGAUUUUCAUGAUAUAGUUGUUCCUCCACGUGUAAACACAUCCUAUUUGUGAUUUAGCUUUAUGUGGGUCAGAGAAUUAACAUGAAUCUGUAUAUCCCACUAAAGCGGAUUCUGACUUUCGAGAAUAAAAUAAUUCCAAAUCAAUAGUACUCUUUAGGUAAUGGAAAAUAUGUUUAACACCAUUCCAAUAUUUUUGAAUUGGUGUAGAGCUAUAUUUUGCAAAGAAAUUUAUAGAAAAAGUUAUGUCAAGUCGACUGCAAUAUACAAGAUAAGUUAAUGCUCCAAUUACACCAAGGUACAAUACUUCAGGACCAAGAACCUUUUCUCCAUCUUCAAGUGGACGAAAUGGAUCAUUUUUCACAUCAAAUGAUCGAAUAACUAUGGUGACACCAGUGGAUGUGCAUUAUCCAUAUAAAAACGCUUUAAAUUUUUUUAUAUACAUAGAUUAAUGAACAAAUAAUUUUUUUGGGAAAUGUUCAAUUUGCAACCCAAGACAAAAUUUGAUUUUCCCAAAUCUUUAAUCUCAAAUUCGUUUCUCAAAUAACCAGCAACUUUGUUAAGUUUUUCAGAAGUUCCAAUUAAAUUUAAAUCAUCAACCAUAAUUGCAAAUCCAAUAUUUAUUUUCUUUAUAAAAACAUAUGGAUGGACAUGGUCAUUUUCAUAGCAUUCAUUCAACAAAUAUUCGCUAAAGUGAUUAUAUCACAUGCGUCCAGAUUGUUUUAAUCAAUAUAAUGAUCUAAGAACAUGAUUCUCGAGCAUGUAUCAUUUGAGUUAUGCUUCAGACAUAUUAAAAUUUUCAAAUAUUACAUUAAUAAUCAUGUCAGAUCAGUUGACUAUCACAUAUUUUAAAUUUCAUGUAUUGUCAGGAUAAUAUGAUAUAGAUUCGUGAUUUCAUCCAUGACGAUCUUUGCGAAAUUUACUAUAUUGAGAGUCGUGCAUUACACAAUACGACUUCAUUUUUCUCAUUUCCUUUUCGUAUAUAUAUAUAUCUUUAGAUUUUCGGACUACAUGUCCAAAAAUCUCGUUGUUAUCUAGUAAAUUCAAUUUAAGAUUGCAUCUUUUUUUAUUUGGCCAAACAUUAUUUUGAUUGAUAUAUUUCGACGCAUUUAUUUCAAUUCCUUGCGAUUCACAUAUGAUACUGUGUAUUAUGUACAAAAUUGUUGUUAACAAUUUUUUCUUUUCUCGUUCGAUUCUAUUUCUUUUCCCAUAGUGACAUAACUUAUUUAGAUAUCUCAAUUUUCAACAUAUCAAGUGCCUUUUCUGGGGUUUUAUAAUUUGUUAUGUCUCAAUACUCAUUAAGAGUAUAUGCCUCCUUAAUGAAACCAUUUUUGCUAAUUGCUCCAAUUUCAUUUGAAGAUUUUUGUAUUAGAAUCGAACACCAUCACGCUUCAGGUGUGUGAUAGAUAUAUCAAAUAUAAUGCUAACAAAUUGUUCACUAAGACAUCAAUUCGUAUUGGAGCAUUAAAAAUUGGUGCAUGAGAUAUUAUUGAUCUCUUUAACUAAUAAAUAUAUCUAAAUAAAUUAUCUCUCGAAUUUCUAGUUCGAAUGAUAUUUAGCGAUGAUUUAGAUAAUGGUGCAUCUAUACAUUAUUUUCAACUUCUUAAUUCCUUCCCUAAUGCUGAGAGAAUUGUCCAAUCAAAUUGAGAAUCAUUUUUUCAGUAUUAUAAAAUAUCCUCCAUUUGAAAUAAUAGUUCAAAUUACGCACUUAUUCUCAGCAUUCUUUAUUUUACAUCUCAGUGUAUUGUGGUGUUCAAUUUACAUAUACUACACCAUCAAAAAUAAUGAAAUGAAAAAAUUAGGAUCUGUUCAUAAACUGAUUAUAAUAUGGAGAACUGUGAUUUUGGCAUGAUGAUUAAUAGAAUUCCCUAAAUAAAAAUAGAAAAUACUUUAUUCUCAAUUAAAAUAACUAGAGACAUUUAACAAACAAUAGUGUUAAAUAAUUUAUCGACGUCUCAACUAACACUCAUUAAAAUGUUGAGAUUUAUGCCCACUAGCAUUAAUAAGACAUAGUCUUGAUUAUAUAAUCUGAAAAUUAUACUCAUAACUUGAGCAAUAAUUUUGCAAAAUUUUAGGUUGCGAAUACUAUGUAAUCAUCUAAUAUUUGUGUCAAAUCUAUUACAUACAAAUAAUAUUUAGAUGGUUAACAUGGUGGGCGACAGGGCCCCAUAUAUCACCCUAAAUAAUUUUCAGAAAUAUAUGGAAUUUAAUCCCUAUUUUAGCUAUCGAUGUUCAAUGAUCAAUUGUCGAUAAAGAGAACAAAUAAUAUAUAGAAAUUCAUUGGAUUGAAAAAUCUUCUAAUUCUUCAUUUAAUAUCCAUUAAGAAAUUUUAAUUUCACAUCAUUAUUGAUUCAGUGAUGGUCCAACAGGUCAUGCCAAAUAAUAAAAUCAAAUUGAACUUCUAAUUCAAUAUAAAUUAUAAUUCAAUUAUUUAAUCUCGAAGAAUAUGAUUAAAUAUUAUAUAAUCAUAUAUCAUUCAAGUAAUCAAACUAAUCAAUGUUCUAACGAUAUUAGUUAUGUGUUUUCCUUAAGGGAUAAAUAUGAAUUCAAAAUAAUAUAUAUUUUUGAAACAUGUGUUGCUUUAAAAGGACGUUAAAUAUUUUUUAUUAUUAUUGCUCAUUCAAAAGCAAUAUAUCAAUAUUUUUCUAGAAUAUUGAAAAUUAUAAUUCAAACUCUUCGGGAGUAAUCAAAUAUUAUUAUAAUAAAUUAUACAAUAAUUUACUUUUCGAGUGUAAAAAUAUAAUUUACAUUAGAUUAUAUGUAAUUAUAUUUUUCGAGAGCAAGUAAAAUCUAACUAGAUUAUUAAUGAAAAUUAUAAUGUACUAUUUUGAUACCACACUAUAUUUUACUAUUACUUCUUCAAAAACAAUUUCAAGAACAAUAGAUCAAUAUUCUUCUGAAAUAAAAAAAAUUUUAAUGUCAUGCUCUUCAGGAGCAAUAACAUAUUAAUGUUAAUAGUAAUAAUUAUGUAAGAAUUUACUCUUCAAAAGUAAAAACAUAAUUUUAUGUUAAAUAUUAUAUCAUUAUGCUCUUCAAGAGCAAUAAAAUCUGAUCAAAAUAUCAAUAUCUAAAUACGUAUGUAGAAAAAUAGAAACGUAUAAUCUUCAAGAGCAUAUAUACAAUAUUCUUCUGGAAUAUUGGCAUUAACGAUUCAUUCUACCUUUCGAGUUAAAUAAUAAAAUUUAUGUCCUACAUGAGUAACAAUGAAAUAUUCUUCUUGAAUAUUUAUAUAAUGUGUGUUGCAUUUCUUCGAGAACAUCAACAUUAUAUUCGUUUAAAAUAAUUAUAAUUUAAAUUAUACUUUUUCAAAAGCAUUGAGUCAAUAUUAUUUUGGAAUAUUGAACUUGUAAUAUCAUGCUCUUUAUAAGCAAGUAAUAUUUUUUUAGAAUAUUAAUAAUAUUGUGCUAUUUCAGGAGCAACAACGAACUAUUUAUAAUAGAUAGAUAUACAAUUAAUAUUCUUCUAGAAUAUUAAUUAUAAUGUUGUGCUACUUUUGGAAGAACAAGAUAAUAAAUUCUUAAUUUGAAGUUCAUAGAAUAAUAUCUAAAAAUAUUUAAUUGCUAUAUAGACAUGAUAUGAAUUCAUGUGGAAAAAAUAAUUACCAAAAAUGCAUUAGGAAAAAUAAUCUCCAUACAUUGAAGUUAACAAAAUCAGCUAAAUCUUUUACCAACAUGCAAAAAGAUACUAAACAUGCACAUGAAUUCCACAUAUACAAAAAUCAAAAGUAGAACUAAUGUGUAACAGAUUCAAAAGACAGAAUUAAUACGUGAAUAAUAUGUAAUAAAAUUGAUUGUGUAUGAAUCCAAAGACAUGAAUUAAUAUGUGUACAAAUUACACAUACAAACGUGAAUUUGAAUUAAUAUGCAUGCCGAUAAAAAGUAGAGAAGAAGAAGCAACCUCGUUAUGAUGCAUAUGUAUAUUGAAAUAUUUCACAUGCUACCAAAUUAAUUUUGAUACACGUGAUAAAUAUUCAGGCCUAAAAAAUUAUUACAUUCACUAAACUUUGAAAAAUUAAGCUAUCGUGCUGAUAACGUGUUACAAAAGUGAAGAAAAGAGAAGAGAACAUAGAAAAGCCAAUAAACUUGUGUGUGUUUUAUUAAGAACCAAAGCCCUAUAUUUAUAAGAUAGAAUUAGGGAUACAACAGUAAUAAUUUCUAAGACUGCAUGGGUAUAAUCGUCAUUUACCUCUAAACCCUAAUAAACUUACUUUUUACAACAAGUUUAUAGAAUUGCACCCUCUAUUUUUUCUUUGCCAUGCGGUAGAUUCUGAUUGUCGUGGAUAAUGAAGCGGUCAGGUAUAUUCCUAAAAAGUCAGUUGUCAUUCAAACAAAGUACCAAAACUGUAAUAAGCUUCCCAAUUUCCUUAGGGAUCUUCCCAUAUAACUUGUUUAAAGAAAGAUCAAGUAGCCGAAGUUAAAUUAAAUUUCCAAAUUCUAGAAGAAUGCCUCCUGUUAGGUUGUUCUUUGUAAUUUUCUGACUUAGUAGCUGCUUGCUACUACACCAUGUGUCAAAGAGUUCACCAUAGAAUUUGUUCUUACUUAGAUCCAUUGUUAAGUUCGAUUGAGACCCAAAUUCUAUUGGGAGUUCUAUUCGAAAUUGGUAGUAUGUCUUGAAGAAAUCUUGAAGAAGUCAAAGACAUAUUUGACAAUUUUUGGACUCCUAUUUUAACUCCAAUGCUUUGAUAUUGAUUUUACCUAUUGUAAUAUGACUUCAACUAGUGUUAAACUUUUCAUGUUUAAUUUUCCUAGUGUGUUAGAGACUCUUGUAUUAUAAAGAUGUGGUGUAUUACACCUAUUUAUUUGAUCGAUUCACGUAUUAAUCUAGGGGGAUCAAGGUUAAUAGAGAGAGACUCACAAAUAGAGAUAUCGAGGGAGAGUCUUGUGAGAUCCUACAUAACAUAUUAUAACUCCUUACUUUUGAUAUAUUGAAUUCUCCAUCUCUGCUUGUGGUUUUUCUAGUCUUGGAUUUUCGCGUGAGUCUUGUGUUCUUAUGUCUGGGUUUAUUUUCUUCUUGCCCAUUAUCUUGUCUUUAACAUUCAUGACAAUUGACUCAAUUUCUAACAAGUGGUAUAAGAGCAAAAUUGGUAAUGCUUUAUUUCUUACAUGUGGAAUCAAAGCUAAGGUUCGGUAGUUCAUGUGAGAGCCAGCUAGGUUUGUAUUAGAGCAAGGUUUGAGCAACUUAGAAUGAGGUUCGAUUGUUUCAAGACUACAAGUAUGAAUUUUAUAUUAUUCUUUUGGAUUGCAACAUUAGAUUUUCGUUACGGUAGAUGUUUAUUAGGACGCAGGAGGAGAAGCAACAUCAGGAUCGUGUUUUGAUAAAGGAGCAGAUAAGGUCCCAGUUAUAUGUUUUGAAAGGUUCAAUGAUCACGUCUGACGUAGUUGACCCUAAAUUGAAGAAAAGCGAUAUGAGACCUCAAGAGGUGUUCGGUGAGGCUGAUUUUUUUGCUUAUGGAUUGAUAAGCGUCAACUUAGAUGGAGUCGAUUUUUGGCCAGGUUGCUAAUAGUGGUAAUUCAAGUAAAUUUGGUAUUGAAGAACCUGAUACUAGCUUAGGUGGAGUUAGUUGUGAUUUUGUUGGUCGUGGUAAUAAUUCAAAAUAAAUUUGAUACUUAAGGUAAUUCUGUAGAUAAAUAGUGCUUGGAUUCAGUUGGUAAAUGCUGAGUUUAUCCUAAAUUGGCUUUGUAGACGAGAUGGAGUAAUUUGGGAGUGUUUUGUUUGGAGAAAUUUUGUUGGAGUUUAAGAGUUAAGUUUUAUUCAUUGGAGUGAAAUUCGUUUCUAGGUGAAAAUUUUUUGAAGCUUUUUUCAUUGCAGUGGAAUUCGUGUAAAGUUAGAGAUUUGUUAGAGUUCAGUAGUGAUCCAAAUUCUAUUGAGAGUUGAUAGUAUGCCUUGAAGAAGUCAAAGUUGUAUUUGGCAAUAUUUAGACUCCUAUCUCAACUCCAAUACUCAUCUAUUGAAUUUACCUAUUAUAAUAGGACUUCACCUUGUUUUAGACUUUCAUGUUUAAUUCUCCUAGUAUGUUAGGGAUUUUUGUAUUAUAAAUGUGGUGUAUUAUACAUAUUUAUUUGAUCGACUUAGAUAGUGAUCUAGGGGAUUUAGGUUAAUAGUGAGACUCUUCAAUAGAGAUUUAGAGGGAAAGUCUAGUAAGAUCCCAAAUUACAUAUUGUAACUCCUUAGUUUUGAUAUAGUGGAUUUUUCACCUUUGUCUAUGAUUUUACCACAUGUAGGGUUUCUCCGUAAAUCUUGUGUUCUUGUAUUUGUGUUUAUUUUCAUCUAGCCCAUUAUCUAAUCUUUAAUAUUUAUAACAAUUGAUUCAAUUUCUAACAUCCAAGAAUGUCAAAUUUGGCUAGACCCCAAAUUCUUCGGACAUAUUCUCAGAAAACUGGUUGUGUUCAAAUCGCACUUUGAAAGACUGGAGCAGUUUUUUCAGCUUUGAGCGAUUGGACCAAAAAAUAUAUUAGAACGCACGGAAUCUUUCUAGCACUUCACCAACACAUAACUCUGGAAAAUGACCAGAUAAUCAAUUUCUUUACAAUGUCAGCCUAAGUAGUUUCUUCAAUUUUCCCUAUUCACUUGUAAUCGAGCCAAAAAGUUUGUUGUGAGAUAGGGACGAAAUAUAAAUGGCCCAAAUGUAAGCUUAGAUUAAAUUAUACAAUAUAGAGAUUUUUACUAUGCAUAUUUAACUCGACAUACUAUUGGAUUGAGCCUAGACGCCGAGUUGAAAUGUUCUUUAUUAAUAAGUACAUCUUUGGGUAAAUUAACUGAAAGACAAUAAUUGAAUAAAAUAAUGAAAAUUUAGUAACCUUAUGGAACCAAUUUAAGGCUUAAAUGAGUUAAUUGGAAUAAAUAAGGGAUCCCAAUAGUUAAUUGGUAUAAAUUAUACCUAAUUAGACGUCAUAAAAUUCAGGAUUCAAGAUUUUUGCCUUAUUACACUUCCUUGGUAAAUUAAGUCGAUACUUUCUUCCCUGCCUAAUGUCGGACUGUUCACCAAUUGGGAUUUAAAUGUACUAAUUUCAAUAAGGUAUAAUAUUAUGCUUUACUUUGAUAAAUGAUUGACUUUGUGCUUACUGCAAUUUUGGUGGAAUUAUAUGAAUUGUGGUCUAUUGGAAAUAUUCAUACAGACACACAUGCUUAUCUGUUAUAUCGUCUAAGUAUUCGAAGUUGAAUAAUUUUAUUUCCGCAAAAACAAAAGGGGUUAAUUGAACGAAAGUUGUAUAUUUAUUUAUUUAUAUAAAAUUUAAAAUAUGUACAAGGUAUGAUCAAGACCUAAGUCUGUCUUUUUCACUGGAAAUUUGGUUCGAAAAAUUUGAGUCUUCAAUCACGAGUCAUCUCUUUUAUACAUUGUUCAUUGAGCCGGCCUUCUAUUUUGUUACUAAACAUUGUUCUUAGUUCGAUGGUUGCAAUUAAGAAAUUAAUUGAAUGUGUUAAUUUUAGAAAGAAAAGUAUUAUCUUGCACCUUUCUUGCUCUCUUUCGUGCCCCAUCUCACAUCCAUUGAUAACAUCUUAAAAGACUUUUUUUUUUCUCUUAAAAAUUCUACCAUUUAGCACUUCGUUCAGUUGAUAGGGCUCUAGCAGUUGUUUCAACUUCUAAAAUUGUAUAUGAGCUUUAGCACGUUUGUUUAGAGGUAAUUAUUAAUGGCAACCAUAAUGAAAAUUUUAUCUUAAAAGAAUAAGGAUAUGGAUUGACUUUUAGGAUAAAUAUUGUUGAAAUUUUAAAUGAAUAUUAAUGACCUAGGAUGAUUGGCAUGUAGACUUCAUGGGAGGCUAAGGACAUCACCACUUGUCAUUCCAAAAGUAAAUUGUUAAGUGAGUUGCAAAUAAUAGAAAUGAAUGAAAAAGUGAAUAUAUAUUGUGAUACUUUUACUUCAUUGUAAUUCAUAAGCAUGCAUCAUAUGUGUGGGAUUUGCUUACUCAGCAUUAGACCAUUCCACUUAUCCCUCCCAAUUUUCAGAUGAUAAAGGCAAGAUGAUUCGAGACGACAAUUUGUGGUGAGACAAAAUCAAUACUAAUAUAAUUUAAAUAUUGAUUUCAUUUUGAAAUAAAGUUAAGUUUUAAUUAAUUUUCUUAUAUUUCAUUAAGUACAAAUUAUUUUCAUAAAUAAAGUUAUUGAUGUUAAUCACGUUAUAGAAAAAUUAAAUCUCCCUUUCGCAUUUAUGAUUUUAAGAGAAAACUAUAUGAUAAUACUUUCAAAUUUAGGCAUUUAGAUUUGGAGGUGUUGCAACACGUGUCAGCAAGUUAGUGUCCAUGUCAACCAGUACAAGAUUGAUGAAAUUUCCAAUUUUAGUACGAACUGAUCCAAAAUGCUGAUUGAUGCUUAGAUUCACAUAAGCAGGUUUUGGAGAGAUGAGAAUGGAAAUUUACAGUUGGUGGCAUGAAUACCUGCAUUUGUGUUAAGGGAUAAAAUUUUCACAUUGGUUAAAUAUCGAAAUAUUGACCAACUUAAAAAUAUUUUAGACUACUCCUCUUAAUAAGGUUGACAUUUUAAGAUGGAACCUCAAGUUUUAACAAUUUGUGAGCUUCAACUAUGAACACUUCCAUAGAUUCAAGAAACUUCACACCAAUUGCAAGGACUAGUAGUUGCUAUUGGAUGGCUUGAAAAAUUGGUGGAAUUAUGGGGAUCAAAGUCCAUGAAUUGUAGAAAUUUUCAAAACUCAUUUUCCGUUUCAUAGAGCAAUUGCUUCAACAGCAAAGGUAGAAGCAAAAGCAAAAGCAAGUCUAGGAUAAAUAAAAGAGAAAAGUAAUGACGAUAUCACAAACUCGAUAUCAUCUAUACGACGUGAUGAAUCAUAUAUCAAAGGAUAGAAAUCUUUCCACAUCUUAAAACAAUUUAAAGCCUUGCUGCAAGGUAGUCUUGCCAUAUCCACUAGUUUAGUUACAACACAACAAUAUUCAUAGCAAACCUUAAACAAUGAAAAGUUUGAUGCGUAGUUUUAUUGGAACUAGCGAAAAUCCAUCGAAGGAACAAAAAUACAUAAAAACAAUUGGCAUCAUUUGCAAACUUUCAUAAAAUUCAUGCUUUUAAGAAAUCACUGAGAUGGUGGUGGAUGCACUAAGCAUAUCAGAAACAACGUGCAUGGUUGGACGAAAUUGUGGAUUGGAGUGAAUGCAUUUAGUCGCAAGUUUAACAAUGAACAUCAAAAUCUCCUCUUCUUUGGGGUUGGGAUACAGAAUGCGCGGAUCCAAAAAAUCCUUAAACUGUAAUUCUCCAUGUGAUGAAGUUGUAACAUUUAUGAGACUGUCACCUAGAUGAUUUCCUUUGAUCACUUCGAAAGCCAACACUCCAAAGCUAUACACAUCACACUUUUCUGUCACUUUCAUUGUGUAAGCAAGCUCUGCCAAAGGUCAGUGAACAAAUAUAAUUAAAAUCAUGUAUGAACAAUCUGUGAAUGAAAUAUAAGAAAAAAAUAUUACCUGGUGCAACAUAACCAUAUGUGCCUGCAAGAGCGCUCAAAUUUGAUGAGUCGCAUUUCAAAAACUUAGCAGUACCAAAAUCCGAAAUAUGAGCCUCGUAAUCUAUAUCAAGCAAAAUGUUGUUGCUCGAUAUAUCUCGAUGAACAAUUGGAGGAGAACAACUAUGAUGCAUGUAAGACAAAGCAUAAGCCACACCCCGCAAGAUAUUUACCCUUCUAGGCCAAUCCAAUAUCUUAGCUUCUUCAUCUAUACUUAGAAUUUUGGCCAGACUACCUUUGUCAAAGUAUUGAUAGACCAAAAAUGAGUAUUGUGCAUUUGAGCAGAAACCAUAAAGUUUCACAAUGUUCCGGUGCUUGAUUCCUGUCAGUGCUCUUAUUUCACUUAAGAAAGCUCUACGAUUUGCCAUUUCCGACAAGGAAUGAAUUGUUUUCACUGCUACUGUAUCUUGUGAUGGAAGCUUUGCCUUGUAAACCCUUCCACAUCCACCCUCUCCAAUGCAAAAUGCUGCAUCAAAUUCGUUGGUGGCCUCUAAUAUGCCUUUAUACAUGACCACUCCAUCGAAAGAUGAUAUGGAAAGCAAAUCAUCUUCUGCAUCUCUUGAAUUCCUCUUUCUGCGUUCGUACAUGAUCAGGAUGCCAACGAGUGCAAAUAGAAGUAGAGGUGCCCCAAUAAGAGGAAUUGCAACUAUCAAAAUGAGUUUGUGACCUUUCCCUAUCUUGUGGUUUUUAAUAGGAGGAACUUUGCAUGGUUGCAAUCCUGCAAUAUUACCGCACAAUCCUUUAUUCCCUCGUAGUUUUUCUAUAGACACAUUCUGAAAGGGCUUGCCAUUAGGAAUGUGGCCCUCCAACUCAUUAUAGGAUAUAUCGAUGUCCACCGAGCCAGGCAAUUUUUGAAAACUCUCAGGAAUGAAUCCAGAGAGGCGAUUGUGCGAGAGGUUUAACAUUCCCAAACUUGACAAAAAUCCUAUUUCAUAUGGUAUUUCUCCAGUAAGUGAAUUACUGCUCAUAUCCAAUGCAGCCAAAUGAGUUAACUUACCAAUCUGAACAGGGAUUGUUUGGCUUAAAAAAUUGUAGCUCAAAUUCAAGUGAAACAACUGCUCAGAAUUUGGAAAAUUUUUAGGUAUUGGACCUGUCAGUCUGUUUCUCGAAAGGUCUAGGUAAUUUAAGCUUGAAAAUGAUCCCAAUUCGUGAGGUAUAUUCCCAGAAAGUCGAUUGUCGUUCAGAUCAAUUUUCAGAAGUAAAACUAACUUCCCAAUUUCCUUUGGAAUCUCCCCACAUAACUGGUUUGAAGAAAGAUUGAGUAUUUGUAUUUGAUUUAAAUUUCCAAAAUCUGGAGGAAUGCUCCCUGAAAGGUUGUUCUUCGCUAUUUUCAGUGUUUCUAGUCGUUUGCUACUACCCCAAUUGUCAGAGAGUUCACCAUAAAAUUUAUUGUCACUUAGAUCCAUGAACGUCAAAUUUGGAUAGACACCGAAUUCUUUGGACAGAUUCCCAGAAAACUUGUUGUGAUCAAAUCGGGCUCUGGUCAAACUGGAACAAGUUUUCAAGCUUUCAGGGAUUGGACCUGAAAGUCUAUUGUUACUCAAAGUAAAACGUUUUAUUAACCCACCACUGCAUAACUCAGGCAAAUGACCAGAAAACUGAUUUUCAUCCAUUUCUAGGAAGACAAGUUUCUUCAGUUUUCCUAGUUCACUUGGAAUGGGACCGGAAAGUUGGUUCUGACGAAGGAACACAUAUUCUAAAUUGCUCAGGUCACCUAAUGAAGCAGGGAUGGGUCCAGUCAAUUUAUUUUCACUCAAUUCUAGGUCACUUAGAGAUUUCAGAUUUCCCAACUCUCUUGGGAUGGGACCAGAAAGGUUAUUAGCAUAGAGGUGCAGAGUGAUUAGACCUGUAGCUUCGCCUAAAGAGGCUGGGAUCAAACCAGUUAGAUUAUUAUUGGCUAAGCUCAGGAUUUCAAGUGACUUUAACUUUCCCAACUCAGGAGGGAUUGAACCAGAAAGUUGAUUUUCGAAAAGAUCAAAAAUUUGCAGUUUAUUCAAGUUCCCUAGAGUGGGAGGUAUGGGGCCCGUCAGCAUGUUAGUGUACAUGAAAACCUCUACAAGAUUGAUGAGAUUUCCCAUUUCAGGGGGCAUAAAUCCAGAAAGAGAAUUAUUAUAAAGAUACAAAAAGGUCAAGUUUCUCAAAUUGCCAAAAGAAACGGGAAUUGAACCAUCAAAUUUGUUACUGUACAAUGCAAGCUCACUUAGAGACACUAGUUGGCCUAUUUCAGAAGGAAUCGAGCCAUUAAAUUGAUUUUCAACCAAAUGAAGAGUUCGAAGACUAGUUAGUCGGCCUAUUUCUGAUGGGAUGGUUCCUGUAAGCUGAUUUUUGGAUAUAUCAAGAUAGACGAGUUUUGAGAGUUUACCUAUUUGAGGUGGAAUGGUGCCAAAAAGUCGGUUGAUGAAGAAAUCGAUAGAAGCAAGAUUUGGGAGAGACGAGAACGGAAACUUAUAGAGGGUGGCAUUAAUAUUUGCAUUUGUGAGGUUCAAGCUGUUGACACUUCCGUCAAUGCUGCAAAAAACUCCAAACCAAUUGCAAGGACUACCACUUGCUUUUGGAUGAGUCCACGAAGUUAGAAUGGAAUUGUUCUCUUUUUUGAAAGUGGCUUUCCAUAUCAGUAGAGCAUUUGCUUCUGCAAAAGAAGCAGAAGCAGGUUUAAGACAAACAAAGAAGAGAAAAGGUAGGAACAAGAAAAAUGUAAAAAUGGGGUACUUCAACAUGUUUAGUAAACUGGGAUUUAGUCUGUGUUUGGAUUAUUUUAGAUGCUAUGAAACUGUAAUUUAUAGAUGCAAGUAAUGGGGUAGAAUUUCAAGUCCACUCCCUAAGUCCAUUCUUGCUGGAAGACAGCAUUCUAUUACCAAAGACUUUUGGAGUGUUAAGAACCUCUGAAGUCAUUGUCUGUCUUCAAUGAGCAGAGAAAAAAAAUGCAAAUCCAGGUCUUUAUCGGUUAUUUUUGUCAAAAUUGGCAGCAACUCAUUUAUUUCGUCUAAAACAAUGAAAAAGAAAGUUAGCUACUUCAUAUUGUUUAUAGUUCUCACCAUUAGGGUCAUUAGAUGUUCCUGCAACCUCAAAACGUAACAGAACCUCAGCCAAAUAAUUAUCACCAAUUUAUUUAUUUAUUUUUAACUCGAGAUUUCUUUGGAGGAGAUUGAAUUCCAAGUUUGGUCAUAAUAUCAUUUUCUACAUGACAGGAAAAAGAAAAAGAAGCUGUUUUUGAGCCCCUGUUUGGACUCCAUUAAAAUGACGGUAGUUUUUUGUAGAGAAAAACUCCGUACAUCUAUACAGGGCAAUCAAACAAGAAGGAAAAAGUUAUUUAAAAUACCCCGAAAAAUCCUUAUAAAAAGAAAGCUAUCGUACAUCCCGUGAAAGUGGCAAUCGGCAAGCGAGGGUCACUUGUGGGAAACGGAAUAGAGGAUGACUGAAUCAUACUGCAAUUUCAUCCCUACAAGAGGCAAUCAAACAGGAAAUGAACAAAGCACUUCAACAGUUACCAAACCAUUCAUCAAAACCAGCAGCAUCAGUUUCUAUAUCUACGAGCAAGAAGAGCUAUCACUUCCCAGCUACAGCCACGACCUCAUGUGCUGUAACAUAAUGCAACCGACAUCAGCUUAUUGCUACGCAUCCUAUUGCAAAGGCUAGAUCACUACUGUUGAAUGUUAACAAAUCAUCAAAUAUAAAUCAAGUCUCAUUUCCUUUGUAUUUUAAUCGGAGAUCUAAAUAGCAAUUUAAUCAAGUAAAAGAUGGAUUUUUCUUCCUAACCAAUUAAGUACACGUGUGAUUGGACUAUUUUAAAUAAUGGAACGUUUUCUUCUCUUUUUAAAAGGCGCAAUUUUUAAAUCAACGUACGUUUAUUACAAUUUACCAUAUUCGCGAAUGACAGCUGAACCUUGUGCAUUUACCUUUGGUCUCUUGGAAUGAAAAACGUAAACAAAUUUUCCAUAUUGAAUAUGGAAACAAGUCAUCAGCAGUUGUACCUAAAAAUAAGCCAACAAAAACCAAAUAAAAAAUUAAACGUCUCCUUCAAUUAGCAACAAAAAUUCACACAAUGGGUGAAAUAAGGGUAAAGGGGAGAUGUACUUACGGAAAAACAUGUCUCCUUCAAUUACUGUUUUGGACUUUUGGCCAUUGCAGGAAACCAUGUUCAGACUAUAAAAUGAAGGAAAUAACUGCCAGUGGCAUAGUCAGAUCCAAGGGAGAAAAUGGAGCAUCAGAAUCUGAGGAUACUGAGCAGAACUCGGCGAACAAACAGGAUUAUGAACGUACCAGGUAUUUGUUUAAUAUUCUCCGGUUAACCUUAAUUUUAUUAUACAAUUCCAUAUUAUGAGUUUGGAACAUUUAUUACCUACCUUAUGAUGGGUUGAAUUGUUAUUACUUAUUAGCAAGCAUUCGCGGGAAUCAGUCACAAUUCUUUUGGUGAAUAAGAAAUAGUUUCUCCCAAGAAGCCAACUAGUCUGACUAAGUGGCAAAGCAGCGGGAGUUAAGUGGAAAUCUGGAAAGUGAGUCUGAGGCAAUGUUGAAGAAACAAAUUUCCGACAGCAAGAGGAAGGAGCUCGGUGGACAUGAUAUUUUUGCCCUACGACCUGAAAUUCAAUCACUCACCUUGUCUGCUUGCGCUUUAGAUUCCCUGACUUUUAAUAAACAAUUCUUAUUUCUUCUUAACAUAGAUUAGGUCGAAAAUAUAUUGAAUGUUAAAAUUCUAAUAAAAAAAAAAAAUUGUUUAUUUUUUUUAUUUUUUAUUUUUUUUAAACUUGCGGAGCUCCCUUGUUUUUGUAAAUAAUUUUAAAACUUCAAAAAUAAGUUAGAAAUUUAUCGGAGGAAAAAUAGUACAACAAACAACUUUUAAAUAAAAUAAUUUUUGAAAUCAGAAUUUACAUUUCAGUAUUAAAAAAUUCACACAAUGGGUGAAAUAAGGGUAAAGGGGAGAUGUACUUACGGAAAAACAUGUCUCCUUCAAUUACUGUUUUGGGCUUUUGGCCAUUGCAGGAAACCAUGUUCAGACUAUAAAAUGAAGGAAAUAACUGCCAGUGGCAUAUUCAGAUCCAAGGGAGAAAAUGGAGCAUCAGAAGCUGAGGAUACUGAGCAGAACUCGGCGAACAAACAGGAUUAUGAACGUACCAGGUAUUUGUUUAAUGUUCUCCGGUUAACCUUAAUUUUAUUAUACAAUUCUAUAUUAUGAGUUUGGAAGAUUUAUUACCUACCUUAUGAUGGGUUGAAUUGUUAUUACUUAUUAGCAAGCAUUCGCGGGAAUCAGUCACAAUUCUUUUGGUGAAGAAGAAACAGUUUUUCCCGAGAAGCCAACUAGUCUGACUAAGUGGCAAAGCAGCGGGAGUUAAGUGGAAAUCCGGAAAGUGAGUCUGAGGCAAUGUUGAAGAAACAAAUUUCCGAUGGCAAGAGGAAGGAGCUCGGUGGACAUGAUAUUUUUGCCCCACGACCUGAAAUUCAAUCACUCACCUUGUCUGCCUGCGCUUUAGAUUCCCUGACUUUUAAUAAACAAUUCUUAUUCCUUCUUAACAUAGAUUAGGUCGAAAAUAUAUUGACUGUUAAAAUUCUAAUAAAAAAAAAAAAAUUUGUUUAUUUUGUUUAUUUUUUAUUUUUUUUAAACUUGCGGAGCUCCCUUGUUUUUGUAAAUAAUUUUAAAACUUCAAAAAUAAGUUACAAAUUUAUCGGAGGAAAAAUAGUACAACAAACAACUUUUAAAUAAAAUAAUUUUUGAAAUCAGAAUUUACAUUUCAGUAUUAAAUAUUUUCAAAAUAAAUAUUUUUAGAAAUUUUUCAGACAUUAAAUUUCAUUACAAAUUUAAACUUCAGGGUUAAAUAUUUUUGAAAUAAAUGUAGGUUAGGUAGACAUUAAAAGAAAACGGAAAGUGAAAUAGAAAAAGAGAGAACCAUAAAUGCGGUUCUCUAAAUUUAAAAUGUUGAAAAUGGAAAAUAGAGAACCACACAUGCGGUUUCUCUUUGAUAUUUUUGCAUUAGAAGAAAAUGGAAAAGAAAGAACCACACAUGCAAAUCUCUAUCGUAUUUUUCAAUUAAAGAAAAUGGAGAAGAAAGAACCACACAUGCGAAUCUCCGUCGUAUUUUUCAAUUAAAAGAAAAUGAAAGUAAAAUAAAAUUUUUAUUACCUGUGACGCUCCCUUGUUUUUAUAAAUAAAUUAAAUACUUUGGAAAUAAAUUAUUAGAAAUUUAUCGAACCAGAAAGUUUGUUGCGAGGUAGGGACGAAAAAUAUAAAUGGCUCAAUUCACCUAAGGAAGUUGGGAUGGGACCUGGGAGAUUAUUUCUCCUCAAGUUUAGUCCCUAACUCUAAAGAAAUUGAAACAGAAACUUUAUUAUCAAAGAUGCUUAGAAUAAUUGCAUGCGUUGCUUCUCCUAACGAAGCUGGAAUUGGAUCUAUAAGAUUAUUUGUCCCUAAACUUAGGCUCUGAAGUGAUUUUAGCUUUUUUCUAGCUCAGAGGGAAUUGAACCAUAAAGUUGAUUUUUGAAAAGGUGCAAAACUUGAAGCUGAUUCAAGUUUCAGACAGUCGGGGAUAUGGCAGCUAUAACGCAACAUACUUGUUUUCGGUGAUUAUCAUAUCUACCUGGAUUAAUUUUAUUUAUGUUACAUUUAUUGUUUCAUUAGUAUAAUUAUUUUCAUCGUGACUUAUAAUUAUCUAUUUUAUGGAGGAAUGUUCUUUGGACGCCCUAAACAACCAACGUGUCUAUUAAUUUAAGUUUAAUAAAUUUAUAGUUAUAGUAAGCUUAGAUUAAAUUAUACAAUAUAUCGUUUUUACCAUGCACUUUUAACUUGACUUACUUUUAGAUUGAGCCUAGACGCCAAGUUGAAAAUUUCUUUAUUAAUAAGUACAUUUGUGGGUAAAUUAAUUGAAAGAUAAUAAUUGAAUAAAAUGAUGAGAAUUUAGUAAGCUAAUGGAACCAAUUUAAGGCUUAAAUAAGUUAAUAGGAAUAAAUAAAAGAUCCCAAUAGUUAAUUGGUACACAUUAUACCUAAUUAGAUGUCAUUAAAUUUAGGAGUCAAGAUUUUUGCCUUAUUACACUUUCUUGGUAAAUUAAGUCGAUACUUUCUUCCCUGCCUAAUAUCGGACUGUUGGCCGCCAUUUGGGAUUUGAAUAGACUGCUUUCAAUAUGGUAUGAUUAUGAUUUACUUUGAAUAAUGGUUGACUUUGUGUUUACUGCAAUUUUGGAGGAAUAAUAUGAGUUGUGGUCUACUGAAAAUUUUCAUACAGACACGCAAGUGACAGUGGACAUAUACACACACACCCAUAUGCUUCAUUACGUUGUUCAUUACACCGGCCUUCUAUUUUGUUACUAAACAUUGUUCUUAGUUCGAUGGUUGUAAGAAAUUAAUUGAAUGUGUUAAUUUUAGAAAGAAAAGUAAUACAUCUUGCACCUUUCUUGCUCUCUUUCGUCCCCCACCCCCCUCUCACAUCCAUUGAUAACAUCUUAAAAGAAAAUAUUAUUUUUUAUCUUACAAAUUCUACCAGUUAGCACUUUGUUCGGCUUUAGCAGCUGUUUCAACUUCUAAAAUUAUAUAUGAGCUUUGGCAAGCUUGUUUACACAUAAAUUAUUGAUGGCAACCAUAACGAAUAAUUUACCUUAAAAGAAUAAGAAUGUAGAUUGACUUUUAAGACAAAUAUUGUUGAAAUUUUAAGUGAAUAUUAAUGACAAUCAAGUGAAUAUUAAUGACCUAGAAUGAUUGGCACGUAGACUUUGUGGGAGGCUAAGGACAUCUCCACUUGUCAUUCUAAAAGUAAAUUGCUAAAGAUUUCAAGCAAGUAAACCUCCCAUUAUUUUUAUGCAUACAUCAUGUGGUUAAAUGUAUAAACGUUUGCUUAAAUUGUUCUUACAUGAACAUGAUAUUUGAUCAUAACUUUUUAUUUCAUGAAUACUUCUCAUGACAUAUUUAUACAUAUCAGUGCAUUCAUAAGCAUACAUGAAGUUUCAUGAAAUAAAAAGAUUUCAAAUGUCAAUAAGUUGAGGAAUACUUCAAAAAGAUAUGUAUUUCGAAUGUGUUUAUUAUGAGGUGUAUGUCAAUGCCAUGAAAGGCGUGAGUGGGAAAUGGAGCGUGGGGGAUCGACGCACCCAACCAGUGUUCAAUGAUAAUGUUAAUACUAAUCGUUUUACGGUAUUAUAGGUAGGACGAAUUGAGUUUCAAAUGAUAAUUGCCCACUGCAUUCUCAUUGACUGGGCAAUACAUCAAGUGAGCUCACAUGUCAAUGUUAAUGUUUUUAAAGAAAUGAAUGAGAAAGGGGAUACAUAUUGAGAUACUUUCACUUUAUAAUAAUUCAUACGCAUAUCAUAAGCAUAUAUCAUAUGCAUGAUGUUUGCUUAUUGAGCGAUAGCCUAUUCCACGUUAUCCCUCCCCAUUUUCAAAUGAUAAAGACAAGAUAAUUCGGGACGACAACUUGAGGUGAGACAGACUCAAUACUAAUAUAGCCCUUAUUUGAGCCUCAUUCUUCUAAAAAUUCAUUUUUCCAAAACUCAUUUCCAACCACACAUUUUUCAACAAAAUAAUAUUACAUGUAAAUUAAUCCAAAACUUGUCCUUAAUUUUAACCACACAUUCUCCAUCAAUCUACUAUUCAAAAUGUAUUAUUUUCCUCCAAAUGGGGCUCAAACAAGGUCAUAAUUUAAAUAUUGAUUUCUUUUUGAAAUGAAGUUAAGUUUUAAUUAAUUGUCUUAUAUUUCAUUAAGUACAAAUUAUUUUCAUAAAUAAAGUUAUAGAUGUCAAUAACGUUAUAAAAAAUUAAAUUCGUCCUUUCGCAUUUAUGAUUUUAAGAAAAAAUUAAAUGAUAAUACUUCCAAAUUUAAGUAUCUAGAUUUGGAGGAGUUAUAGCACCUGUCAUCAAGUUAGUGUCCAUGUCAACUUGUACAAGAUUGAUGAAAUUUCCCAUUUUAACAGGUACCGAUCCAAAAUGCCGAUUGUUGAUUAGAUUUAUAUAAACAAGUCUUGGAGAGACGAGAAUGGAAAUUUACAGUGGGUGGCAUAAAUACUUGCAUUUGUGAGGUUUAGCUAUGAACACUUCCAUAGAUGCAAGAAACUUCAUACCAAUUGCAAGGAUUGGCAGUUGCUUUUGGAUGGCUUGAAAAAUUGGUGGAAUUAUGGGGCUCAAAAGUCCAUGAAUUUAGUAGUGAAUUGUAGGGAUUUUCAAAACUGGUUUUCCAUUUCAGUAGAGCAUUUGCUUCAACAGCAGAUCCAGAAGCAGGUUUAGGAUAAAUAAAGGAGAUAAUUUGUAACGAUACUACAAACUCGAUAUCAUCUAAACAACACAAUGAAUCAUAUAUCAAAGGAUAGAAAUCUUUCCACAUCUUAAAACAAUUUAAAGCCAAAAUAUUAUAAGUCAAAGGAAAAGUGUUUCCAUUUCAUAUGACUUUCUGCAAGGUAGUUUUGCCAUAUCCACUACUUCUAGUACAAAAUAACAAUAUUCAUAGUAAACAAUAAACAAGGAAAAGUUUGAUGCCUAAUUUUAUUGGAAAUAGCAGAAAUACAUCAAAGGAACAAAAAUACAUAAAAACAAUUGGCAUCAUUUGCAAACUUUCAAAAUUCAUGCUUUUAAGAAAUCACUGAGAUGGUGGUGGAUGCACUAAGCAUAUCAGAAACAACGUCCAUGGUUGGACGAAAUUGUGGAUUAGAGUGAAUGCAUUUAGUUGCAAGUUUAACAACGAACAUCAAAAUCUCCUCUUCUUCGAGGUUGGGAUAAAGAAUGCGCGGAUCCAAAAAAUCCUUAAACUGUAAUUCUCCAUGUCUGAGACUGUCACCAGGACGAUUUCCUUUGAUCACUUCCAAAGCCAACACUCCAAAGCUGUACACAUCACACUUUUCUGUCACUUUCAUUGUGUAAGCAAGCUCUGCCAAAACAUCAGUGAACAAAUACAAUUAAAAUCAUGUAUGAACAAUCCGUGGAUGAUAUAUAUGAAAAAAGAAAAAAUAUUACCCGGUGCAACAUAACCAUAUGUGCCUGCAAGAGCGCUCAAAUUCGAUGAGUCGCAUUUCAAAAACUUAGCAGUUCCAAAAUCUAAAAUAUGUGCCUCGUACUCUGUAUCAAGCAAAAUGUUGUUGCUUGAGAUAUCUCGAUGAACAAUUGGAGGAGAACAACUAUGAUGCAUGUAAGACAAAGCAUGAGCCACACCCUUCAAAAUAUUUACCCUUUUCGGCCAAUCCAAUGUCUUAGCUUCUUCAUCUAUACUUAGAGUUUUGGCAAGACUACCUCUGUCAAAGUAUUGAUAGACCAAAAACGAGUGUUGAGCAUUUGAGCAGAAACCAUAAAGUUUCACAAUGUUCCGGUGCUUGAUUCCUGUCAGUGCUCUUAUUUCGCUUAAAAACGCUCUACGAUUUGCCAUUUCAGACAAUGAAUGAAUUCUUUUCACUGCUACUAUAUCUUGUGAUGGAAGCUUCGCCUUGUAAACCCUUCCACAUCCACCCUCUCCAAUGCAAAAUGCUGCAUCAAAUUCUUUGGUGGCCUCUAAUAUGUCUUUAUACAUGACUACUCCAUCAAAAGAUGAUAUGAAAAGCAAAUCAUCUUCUACAUCUAUUGAAUUCCUCUUUCUGCGAUCAUACAUGAUCAGGAUGCCAACGAGUGCAAAUAGAAGUAGAGGUACCCCAAGAAGGGGAAUUGCAACUAUCAAAAUGAGUUUAAGACCGUUCCCUGUCUUGUGGUUUUCAACAGGAGGAGGAACUUUGCAUGGUUUCAAUCCUACAAUAUCACCGCACAACCCUUUAUUCCCUCGUAGUUUUUCUAUGGACACAUUCUGAAAGGGCUUGCCAUUAGGAAUUUGGCCCUCCAACUCAUUAUAGGAUAUAUCGAUGUCCACCGAGCCAGGCAAUUUUUGAAAACUCUUAGGAAUGAAUCCAGAGAGGUGAUUGUGAGAGAGGUUUAACAUUCCCAAGCUUGACAAAAAUCCUAUUUCAGAUGGUAUUUCUCCAGUAAGUGAAUUACUGCUCAUAUCCAAUGCAGACAAAUGAGUUAACUUACCAAUCUGAACAGGGAUUGUUUGGCUUAAAAAAUUGUAGCUCAAAUUCAAGUGAAACAACUGCUCAGAAUUUGGAAAAUUUUUAGGUAUUGGACCUGUCAGUCUGUUUCUCGAAAGGUCUAGGUAAUUUAAGCUUGACAAUGAUCCCAAUUCAUGAGGUAUAUCCCCAGAAAGCCGAUUGUCCUUCAGAUCAAUUUUCAGAAGUAAAAUUAACUUCCCAAUUUCCUUUGGAAUCCCCCCGCAUAACUGGUUUGAAGAAAGAUCGAGUAUUUUUAUUUGACUUAAAUUUCCAAAUUCUGGAGGAAUGCUCCCUGAAAGGUUGUUCUUCGCUAUUUUCAGUGUUUCUAGUUGUUUGCUACUACCCCAAUUGUCAGAGAGUUCACCAUAGAAUUUAUUGUCACUUAGAUCCAUGAACAUCAAAUUUGGAUAGACACCGAAUUCUUCCGACAGAUUCCCAGAAAACUGGUUGUGAUCAAAUCGGGCUCUGGUUAAACUGGAGCAAUUUUUCAAGCUUUCGGGGAUUGGACCCCAAAGUCUAUUGUUAUCUACAGUAAAAUUUUGUAUUAACCCACCACCACAUAACUCUGGCAAAUGACCAGAAAACUGAUUUUCAUCCAUUUCCAGGACGACAAGUUUCUUCAGUUUUCCUAGUUCACUUGGAAUGGGACCGGAAAGUUGGUUCUGACGAAGGAACAAAUAUUCUAAAUUGCUCAGGUCACCUAAUGAAGCAGGGAUGGAUCCAGUUAGAUUAUUUUCGCUCAAUUCUAGUUCACCGAGAGAUUUCAAAUUCCCCAACUCUGGUGGGAUAGGACCAGAAAGGUUAUUAGCGUAGAGGUGCAGAGUGGUUAGACCCGUAGCUUUGCCUAAAGAGGCUGGGAUCAAACCUGUGAGAUUAUUAUAGUUUAAACUCAGGGUUUCAAGUGACUUUAGCUUCCCCAACUCAGGAGGGAUCGAACCAGAAAGUUUAUUUUU